CAUGUUGUGGGAAAGAUUGAAAAGGUGUAGAAGGUAUUAUGUUCUAGGCGAGAAGAUGUAAUAAAUUGUAGGCAAAUAAAAAACUGUAUCGACAUCUCGUUUUUUUCCCAGCCCAUAUUUGCAGUGGAUAUGCUGUAAUGCUAUUGCCACAACAAAUAAAAAUUUACAUACUGUUUAGCGUCAUCGAAUUAGUGGAAGUGGUUGUUGUGCGUUUGUUGUACAUAUCCCUCAAAGAAUAAAUACCAGAAUCCCAUAUCCAUUUUCCCAAAAGAAUUUAAACACAAAUAGUACUACUACUUACAACAUGGUUCCGCAGAAGACAACAAAGUCUUGUUGUGGUGAUAAAGCAACUCCAUCGGCAAAAUAGAGGUCUCGAAUGAGUACUUGGGUCUGAUUUGUUGAUGGAUCAACACUAAUGACUCUUCAAUAAGGCCGACCCUCCAAAGUGUUAAGCAUGUAACUACUUAUAUUGUAUUUGUAUGAAGCAUCUGUAAAGUAAAUGACGCCUUUUUGAGUAACAUCAACACCAUUAAUUAGUCCAUCCUUCAGUUUCAUCAAUCAACCAUUCUUUAACUCCCUCCUUAGUGACCUUCAUUAGACCCUGCCAUGUAACAAUUUUAGCAUCUAGGUGUUUGACAUGUCAACGAGUGAAGGUCGAUCAUCAGAGACCGUCAGGGUUACUUCAGCCUUUGUCUAUCCCUCAGUGGAAGUGGGAGCACAUUUCCAUGGAUUUUAUUGAUGGUUUGCCUAGAUCACGGGGAGGCAAUGAGUCCAUUUGGGUUGUCGUUGAUCGACUGACUAAGUCAGCUCAUUUUCUUCCUAUUUCUAUGAAUAGGAAUGCAGAUAAGCUAGCAAAGAAGUAUGUGAAGGAGAUUGUCAGACUACAUGGUGUUCCGGCUAGCAUUGUUUCAGACAGAGAUCCUAUAUUCACUUCUGAGUUCUGGGGUAGUUUUCAGCGUGCCAUGGGUACGAAGCUUAAUUUGAGUACUGCUUAUCAUCCCCAGACAGAUGGACAGACUGAACGGGUAAAUCAGGUCCUAGAGGAUAUGUUACGUGCUUGUGCACUCAGCUUUGGUGGAGAAUGGGAAGAACAUCUACCUUACGCGGAGUUUGCUUACAAUAACAGUUUUCAGGCGAGUAUUGGUAUGGCACCAUAUGAGGCACUGUAUGGUAGGCCAUGUAGAUCACCGGCUUGUUGGGCGGAGGUUGGUGAUACUGCGAUUCUUGGACCAGUGAUGGUUCGCGAGACUACAGAGAAAGUAGAUAUCAUUCGACAGAGAUUGAAAACGGCUCAAAGCCGAAUGAAGAGUUAUGCAGAUAAUAGGAGGAAGCCACUCGAGUUUGCUGUAGGGCAGAAAGUGUUGCUGAAGAUCUCCCCGAUGCGUGGAGUAAUGAGGUUUGGUAAGAAGGGUAAGCUGAGCCCUAGGUAUGUGGGACCGUAUGAGAUCACUGACAGAGUUGGACCGUUGGCUUACAGGCUGGCACUGCCACCUGCCUUGGAAAAGAUACAUAAUGUAUUCCAUGUUUCUAUGUUGAGAAUGUGGAAAGGAGAUGAUAAGGAUGAAGAGGAGGAAGGAGUAGACUACGCGCAGUUAGAUAUUUAUGAUCCAGAGCAGUUAGAAAUUAAUGAAGAUGUUACCUACAGAGUGAGGCCAAUUAUUAUCAUUGAUAGAGAUGAGAAACGACUAAGGCGAAAGACAUUGAAACUGGUAAAAGUGCAGUGGAGUGAUGAUCCGAGCGAUGUUACAUGGGAGCUGGAGGACAAGGUGCGAGCUAAGCAUCCGGAGUUGUUCGAUUGAUCUUUCUUCCAAAUCUCGAGGCCGAGAUUUCUUUUGAGGUGUGUAUGAAUGUAAACCCCCUCUUUUAUGUUUUAUGCUAAUUUUAAUUUGGAAUUAAAAGUAAUUGGGUUAAAGUCCCUGGACCAAGGGCUUAAGCAUAAUUACUGUAAAGUAGUGGACUAUGGUUUAAAUAACCCAAACUUGGAGAAAACAGCCCACGAUCAGAUGUGGAGUUAUUGCGAACCGUUAGAUGUGAAAACACGAUCAAUUAGCUUAGGUUAUGCGUUUUUAUUUAUGGGAGCAAAGAUCUUAAAGUGGUUUUGCGAUAAAAGAAAAGAGUUUGCAGAGAGAGAAAAGUGAGAGAGGGCGGCGCUGCGAUCCGAGCUUAGAAGUGGAAAGAGAGGAUACGAGGGUUUAAUUUGCGAAAAAAAGGAAGAAAAGAAAAAGAGGAUUUGUGUGGCAGCUGUGAAGAGAAGUUGCAGAGUGAGAGAGAGAGGAAGAGGACGAACAGCAGCAGUAGCAGGUGAGUGGAUGAUAUUUUGUUAGAUUAGUUUGUUUUAGUUAAACUAGAGUUUGACUUUAGUGGUGGGGGUAGGAUAUGGUUGUUGUUGCCUGUUGGUUUUUGAUUUUAGAGUGGGCAUAUACAUAUGUUUAUAUAUAUAGAUAUAUAGUUAUGUUUGGUGAAAGCAGUAAUCUGUUGUAAAAAAAAAAAAUUAUAAAAUCUGUGCUCUUUUGAUUAUAUGAAAAAGAAAUGAUUUUGAAUGCAUCUGCUGGUUAGGUGGGGUUAAUAGAAUUUUUUUUAUUAUUUAUUGGAGUUGUAUGGUUGGAGUACAUUGUUGAUAACAUGGAAAUUAUAAUAGAAGGUACAUGGUGGUACUGUACAUGUAUCCAGAUUGUCGAGUUUUCGAGAUCGCUUUUGGAUUAUUAUUUAUAUAUAUAUGUGGACUAGAAAUAUAUACACCGAAAAAUAUAAUUUUAAUGAAACUGGGAUUAAAGAAAGCUAUAUAGUCUUAUGGGUACAGUAAAUAUUAUUCGCUGAAUGUAUUUUGUUUCUGGCUGUAAAGUAGAUAGUAUUGUUAUUUUGAAAGAAAUAUGAAAUGUGUUAAUAUUAAAUUCGAGGAAUUUAUUGUUAAAUGCCUUGGAAUGGCUUUAUAUACCAUGGACGGUAUUUGACUAAUUUGGAAAAUGCGAAAGGAAUACAAAUGGAUUGGAUGUGAAGUUGAUGUGAAAUUUUAUUGUCGAGUGUUACUUGAUUUAUGAUAGUUUAGAUGUUUUGGUAGUCGCCCAAGCAUUAGUACAUUUGCCACACCUGUGGAAUUAGGAUUAAGAAAAAAAUUAGAUAUCACCCUAGACGGCUUAGCCUGCGGGUUGACAUUUGGAAUAUAUUUUUGUUGGGUAUUUCCUAGACGGCUUAGCCUGCGGAACUGACCCUACAGACCUUCAUAGCCUUCGGGGUUGGUCUGGGCGCCACAUUAGAAAGCUCAAGGGAGCUAGUAGAGGCCAUGAGUUAGGCAUACGUCGAGGCUAGCCAAAGCUUGCAGGUGAGCACCCACUUGGGUUUUGGUUUCCGCGUAGAGGGUCUUAACCAUGGUCAAGGCACACUGGUGCAGUGUGGGUAUGGCAAAUGUGUGGAGUGCAUCCUGUGGGAGGUGUACUAGUGAUUGGGUAUAGGUUGUGAAAUGUUGUUUGGGUGUAAUGAUUGACUUGUAGUGAUUGAGAUACAGUGUCGAGACUUGAGAUGCCAUGAAUUGUAUAUUAUUGUACUAACACAGUUUUGCAGGAGGAUAGGUCAAUUAACAUUUCUUGCAGCGCUCGACCUAUCCUAAUAGGAGGCGCAGCUCAGGUAAUGUAUUAUUAUAAUAUAUAAUAUGUAUUUAGUAAACGAGAUAAGUGUAUAAAGACCGCGGAGUCUGUUAUAUUAUUGUUUUUGGGGAAUGGAGUUCCCUACCCUUGUCUACUCAUACCAGCAUAAUUUGCUGACCCAUGUUGUUUGUUUUGCACGUGGGUACGUAUCCUUAUGGAGCGUAGGCGGAAGAGAGGAGCCAGUUGAGUACGCUCAGGAGCAACACCCGGAGGCUCGGGUAGAUCCAGUUGUUCGGGAGGGAGUUUGAGAUUUGCAGGAGUUAUCAUUUCAGAGUAGGUUUAGUUCUUUGAUUUGUCGUUAGCUGAUUACUCAAGUUUAUUAUUUCAUUUAUGGGAUUAUUAUUGAUGGGGAAGACAAUACCUCAGUAGAAGCUGUUGAAUUUUAUUAUUGGAGUUGUGUAAUGCAAUAUUUGGAGUUCUUGGAUAAUAUAUGGAAAGACUCCUUUCACGACAAACGGGUCAAGUAUGCGCUUGAAAGGCGAACCAGUCAAAAAGAUGUGUACAGGAAUAAGGCACAAGAAAAUAUUAUAAGGAAAUUCAUUGCUUCUUAUAAUCAGUAUUCAGACAUCAAUCUUACAGUGUAUACUUGAGUUCACAGAACCGAAUUUAUUAGAGUACAAUACGUAGUAAAAGCAGGUUAAUAUGUGGGAGGUUCACAUACCUUGUCAAAAUUGUUGAGGCCUUUCGCAGUGAUGGGUACCUUGAUACAAAUGCCAGAAAAUAGUCUUUCCCUGAUAAAUACAAAGAAGUAAGCAUCAAACAAAUUUCUUGAAUGAAUAUUGUCCUAAGCUUGUUCAUUUUUCCUAGUAUUCUUUUGAUUUCUGUUAAGUAUGCAUGUUGUGGAAAAUAUUGAAGAGUAAAAAUAGAGUGAAAUAGAGCUACAAAUCUAUUACUAAUAUUAUAGCAAUCCAAAAUUUGCCGCCUCCAUCAAAGCGAAUGUUGUCUCGAAACCCUGGCAAUUUGUCAACAAAGUCAUAGUUAGCUCCUUUCUUCUCCGCCUAGAACAUAAUACCUUCUACAGUUCUUCAACUUCGCCUGCAAUUUAAUCAUGUUAAGCAAAUGUUUUCUUAAUCUGUCGAUGAAGUUUUUAUUACAUUACAGAAGUAUUUUCGUGCUGAUUGUCUAUGCAUCGUAUACGAAAUCCUAUUUGUUUCCGACUCCACAGUUGCAUUUAUUGCUGUUCCCCCCCCCCCAAAAAAAAAAAAAAAAAAAAGAAAAAGAACCCAUAUCCAAAUUUAUUUUUACCCAAAAGAAUUUGAGCAGAUAUAGUACUACUACUUACAACAUGGUUUUGCAGAUGACAACAUAGUCUUGUUGUGUUGAUAAAGCAAUUCCAUUGGAAAAUAAAGGUCUCGGACCAGUACUUGGGUCCGAUUUUUUGAUGGAUCAAAGCUAACGAGUCCUGCAAAAGGUUGUUGUAACUACUUAUAUUGUAUUUGUAUGAAGCAUCUGUAAAGUAAACGACGCCAUUUUGAGCAAUAUCAACACCAUUAAUUAGUCCGAAUUUUAAUCCUUCAGCUUCAUCAAUCAACUAUUCUACAACUCCCUCCUUAGUGAUCUUCAUUAGACCCUGCCAUUUAAUAAUUUUAGCAUGUAGUGUACAACAACUAAGAGCUUAUAUGGCUAUAAUCGUGAUAUUUUUCAACUCACCUUGUGUGCCUCAGCAAUGAUGAGUUCCUUAUGUGGUCCAAAUGCAAGUCCAAGAGGUCAACAUGAAUUUAAUACCGUUGUUUCACUCGCAGUCUCAGUCAAGGUGCUUCGCUUGAUCCAUCGAUGACUACAACCUGUAUAGACUCCAGCUUCCUUAUCAUAGACACAAGAUCCUCAGGUCCUGGUAAGAACCUAUCAGGCUUCAACCGAGGGAUAAACACCGGCUAUCAACACACAAGGCAGAGCUCAGGGAGUUGAAUCCAAGGAUGGGAAUCCCUCACUCAAAGGAAAGAUCCAGAGGACUUGUAUCAAGGUGGCUCUUUUAUUUGUUGAUCCAAAAUGCAUAAUGUAUCGUAAAUGAUGGUUCUUGCUGGAUGAAGAAAAUCCCCAGCUACAAAAACAUGCCUUUCACACUCUACCUCAAUCCAACUGCAUCCAGCUGGUUUCUUCAGAUCUUUAUCCUUCAUCAAUUUCCUCAAUUCCUUAACCCCAUCCCAUCUUGCAUCUGCUGCAUAUAUAUUUGACAUCACUACAUAGUUUCCAAUAUUAUUUGCUUCAACCUUGAAAAGAUGAUCUGCAACUGUUCGCCCAAGCUCCACCUCACGUUGGUUUCGACAAGCACCCAGCAGAGUUCCCCACACAUUGGCAUUAGCUUCAUAUGGCAUUGCAGUUAUAAGAGAAUAUGCAUCUUUCAAACGCCCUCCCCGUGCGAGAAGAUCCACAGUGCAGGCAUAAUGCUCCAUUGUGGGCUUCAUUCCAUGUACCCUAUCAAUGGAUUCAUAAAUGCUCAAGCCUUCAUUCACAAGACCGGCAUGACUACAGGCUGAUAAAACAGUCGUUAAGAUAACAUGAUCAGGCUUAAUCUCCAAGUCGAUCAUGUUGUCGAAAACCCGGAGUGCCUCCUUUCCCAUACCAUGCAUUGCAUACCCACCAACCAUUGCUGUGAACAUAACAAGAUCUUUCUGGAGACUCAUUUGAAAGAGCUUCUGAGCACUGUCAAUGCUUCCACAUUUUGAGUACAGAUCCAAGAGAGCUCCUUGCAACCGUACAUCUUGAAAAGAAGACCUGAUAAUGUAUCCAUGGCAUUGCCUCACCAGGUGCACAGAAGCCAAACGGGCACAUACUGGAAGAACACUCAUAACACUCACCAUAUCAGGUUUCAUUCCCAACAAUUGUAGCUCGUGGAACAGAUGGACAGCAUGUUUGGGACACUCAUUCUCAGCAUAUGCUCUGACCAUAAGAUUCCAUGUUGUGAGAUCCUUUUGAGACAUCUUACUAAAAAUUAUUUCAGCAUCAUCCAAGGACCCACGACUGACAUAGCCUGAUAUCAUUGUGUUACCAGUAACCACAUUUGUCAUGCCCGACAAACUUUCAAAAGUCUUAAACGCGUAUUCCAUGUCCCCACAUUUAGCAUAUGCAUCAAGUAUUGCAUUUCCAACAGUUGGUUCACGAUAACUCUUGAACAAAGAUGCUCUAAUUGAAUAUGCAUGAACUUCUUUAACUUUUUUUACAAUUGAAACAGAACAAACAAAGUGAAGAAUGGAUAAUAUAGUAAUGGAGUCAGGCCGAAUACCUUCCUUGAACAUUUGGCAUAAUAGGUUAAAGAACUGAGCACUAUUUUCACUCUCUGAGUAAGCGUCAAGCAUUGCAUUCCACGAUAUCAGAUCUUUUCUAGGGAUCUUUGAGAAUGUCUGGAAUGCAGACAAUACCUCGUCACAUUUUGCAUAAAAACUUAUCAGGGCAUUUCCUACAGCUGUAUCUUCACAUAAUAAAGGGUGCGUACGAAUAUAUUCAUGUAUCUUCUGUCCCUCCUCGAACUUCCGCAAUUGGGCACAGACAGGAAGGACGCUGAUGCAGGUGACAGAAUCUGGCCCCUGUAUCCCUGUCGAAAGCAGUUCAUGAAACAACUCCAAUGACUUAUGGGAUCCACCACAUAAGGCAUAUCCACCAAUGAUGGCAUUCCAAGAAACUAUGUCUCUGACUUUCAUCAUUCGGAACAAAUGUUCUGCUUCUUUUAAGCUUCCAAUCCUUGAGUAUAAACUCAAGAGAGAGUUGCAGACUGAAACAUUAGACCCUAACUCUAACCUACGUAACACAUAACAGUGGAUCUCCUUUCCGAAAUAGUAUGCCUUGUCAUGAUCCACAGAGGCACAAACGGACAGAAUAUUCGCAACUGUUGCAUAAUUAGGCUCAAUUGGACUCAUCACCAUCUGUUGAAACAUUUUAAACGAAAUCUCAAAUAGCCCAUUCUCAGCAUAUCCAGCAAUUAUAGCAUUCCAAGAAACUACAUCUUUGCGAACAGUACCAAGAAAUGCAUAAUAAGCGUCACCCAGCACACAACCACAUUUGGCGUACAUAGAUACCAAUGCAUUCCCAACAAGAGUCUCUGAUUCCAAUCCAGACUUAAUAACAAACCCGUGAACACUUCUCCCAGAGCCUAACUCUUGUAACCUUGCACAAACAGGAAGAACAAUCGCAACACUAAUGGCAUUAAUCUUAGGGUUCUCCUUGCAUUCAUGCAUAGCAUUGAACAAUCUCAUUACAUUGGUAGAGUCAACAAAGGUUUUUGAGCUGGCAUACCCCGACAAAAGAAUAUUCCAAGUAACAAUAUCAUUCUUUUGCUUCAUUCGAUCAAAUAAUUUCUGACAAUCCUGUAAACCACCACAUUUAGCAUACAUAUUUAUUACAGCCUUCGAAACCACUUGACUCGACUCAUCAUAGCUCAACUUAAUGCCAUAUCCAUGAAAAGACUUGCCUAAAAAAAUGUCUGACAAAGCAGUACAUGACUUGAGUAAAGCAGCAAAAGUUACUUCAUCAGGUCCAAGUUCCAGUCGUAAAGACCUUCUUCUUUGAGUUAAGAAAAUACCAAGAGCUUCUUUAUGCAUGGAAUUUGAAGUAUAUUGCCUAAUACUAGCAUUCCAUGAUGUUUUAAAAUUUUCUGAGUCAGGAAUUUCAUCAAACAAUUCUUGUGCAUUGCAAGAACUCCUUGAUACUGCUGUAACAAAUGAUCUGAUGAUAAUUAUACAACAAUCUAACUCUUCUAAUAGUAAUAAUUUUGCUCUGACAUAACUUCCAAAACAGCCGAAAGCAGAUUUCAAAGCCAUAUAAAUUAUAAAUGACUUCUUCUUCUGCUAAUCUGCCUAAGCAAAAGUGAUAAGCAGUUUAAAAGCAAAAUAAGUCAAAAAACACGUGCAAUGGCACGUGCGUUAUGAACAAAGAUCUUCUUCUCUGUAGUGUUCUCUUUCUUCUCUACUGUUUGUUUGUUUCUUUCUUUCUUCUUAAAUUAUUCUAAUGGAAAUUACAAUUUCUUAUAAAUUUCUUCACCAUUCAAAUCUUUUUCUCUCUCCUCAAUCUUCCUCACAAUUCAAUUUCAAAUCAAAUUCACCCAAAAAUCUUUCGUUUCUACAGAAAAAGUCGAAAAAAUCGAUACUUUGUUCAUUCUCUGUUUCUUGUUCUGCUUUAUUGAAUUCAACAAAUUAUGGUGGAUGGGAAGAUUUGAAGUUAAUUGAAGAUUCAAAUUAUAAUCAAUGUUCUAGUAAGUUUGAUCAGUUUCGAAAUUUUCUAGUUUCUUUAGGAAUUGAUGAUAGAAAGCAUGUUUUCAUGUUUAUUUUAGGUUUUGUUUCUGCUUUAGCAAUUUCUAGGGUUAGGGUUUCUUCAAUUUUAGUUUUUCCAGCUACUGUUUUGGUUUUUGCUUUGGGAUUUUCAUUGGGGUUUGUUCGAAGAGGAAAUGAUGUGGGUUUUUCAAUGAAGAAAGUUGUUAAAGAUGAGAAAUUGAGAAAUUUAGUGGAGUUAUUUAGUGAGUUGAGUGUUAAGAUGAGUACUUUAGAAAAUGAAAUGAAAGGGGAUUUGGAAUUGGAUAAUGUGGAAAUUGGUGGAUUUGAUAACUAUCAAAAUGCGAUUAAGUUAUUGAGUUUAGAUAUAAUGCGAGGGAAGAGUAUUGUCAAGACUUAUGUUAAUGAUAUGGGUAGUUUUAGUAAUGUAAAUGAGUUUAAACGAGUGUCGUUAGAUGACAUACAAACUGAGAAAAAUUUGAAUCAGAAAUCGAGUAAGAAGAAAAGAGAAUCAUUUGCAAGCUAUUUUGAUGCAUUCCAGUUUAUUGGAGGUCUGUUUCAGGAAAAGGCUAGUGUGGUAAAACCCAAUAAAGUAAAAGAAACAGCCAAGGAUGACUCCAUAGAGCCAUUGCGCUCGAAAGUGAAGAAUGAUCAGAAUCAUGUUAGUGUUUCGGUCAAGGGAAUGGAAGACAUGAAGGCAGAGUCUGACAGGAAAAUAGGAAGCACUUUAAAGGACUCUUCACAGUUGGAUUCCUUGAGGAAUCAAGGUUUGAGUCAGCAUGUAGCGGAAUUUUCAGUUGAUAAAGCUCGAAAAGAAGAUGUAAUUCCAGAAAUGAUGAAUGGAAAUUCCACAAAGAAGGCUAAUGAUAUUCAGACACUAAGCAACAACAAAGAGUUUAGUAGUCAGAAUUAUAGUAUGCCAUUCAUGAACAAUCAGGAAAAAUCCGUCGAUAUAGGACAUCCAAAUGGUACAGAAAUGUUUAUACCCCAUGAUAACUUGUAUGAUCCAUUGGAUCUUGGUAUCAAUACCAGAUCAAGUGAAAUUGAUAUGAGGUCAUUCACUAUGAACUCGAAAGCAUCCUUCCAUCAAGAAGAAAUUCUGAAGGCAUUGAAUGGGUAUCAUGUGCCUUCUUAUAGAAGGGGAAAACCCGAAAACGUAAGUUACGAUUUUGAGUUAAUGGGGAAUGGAGAAAUAUCAGUUGAUCCAACUGACUUGGAUAAUAAACAAGCUGCAUAUGAUUCAGAAGAGGAUUCGGAACUGCCAUCAUCUUCAGUGGUUUCAGAAGAUUUGGUGUUCAGUAAGCACCUGACAGAGGCUACUAAUCUUCUGAGAGAAGCCAGAGAAUGUUUAAAGGGUAAAGCUGAUGAAGAUAGGGCGGAAGUAAAAUUGUAUAAAUCUGCUAAAUUACUCUCCAGAGCAACAGCCAUGAAACCGAUGAGCUUACUGGCUGUAGGUCAAUUAGGAAACACUUUUCUUCUUCAUGGAAAACUCAAAUUAAGGAUUAGCCGUGAGCUUAGAAGGCAUCUCUCCAAACGUGACUCUUCAUUCUCAAGGGUUAACAGUAGCGUACCUCUCAAGGAGUUAGAUGUGAAAGGCAUGAGCAGGGAUAGAAUUGCUUCAACUCUGAUUGAUGUGUGCGAAGAGUGUGAAGGCCUCCUUGUUGAGGCGGGAAGACAGUACAGAAUGGCAUUAUCAAUAGAUGGGAGUGAUGUUAGAGCCUUGUAUAAUUGGGGGAUUGCUCUUUCCUACCGUGCUCAGUUGAUUGCAGAUGUCGGACCGGUAAGUAUCCUUUAAUGAGAACUUCUCUCUCUCAAACUCAUUUGUCAAUUAAGUUUCUUAUCAGAUUUUUAUGGACCAAAUUAAUGUCUGAUGUGAAGCAAUGGAAUGACCAACAUACUAAUGCUAAAUUUACAUACACUAAACCAUGCCGAUAAGGCUUUACCCUCUUGCCUCGGGGUAUCUUUGUAGUAUCCUUUUCGUCGAAAUAUUUGCCUAUGCUUACCUUUUAUCUUAUCAAUGGAUGCUUACGUAGAUAGACUCAGGUGCUGCAACCUCCAAAUAGGUCACCAUACAUAAAGGUCUGUUAAAUUGGGAAAUUGAUUUCCCGGUAUAUGUUUUUUGAGGGUUCAGAAUGGUCAUUUCUCAAGAAGAUUUAAAUAAAACUGAAAACUCCUUUCUUCCCUCGUUUUCUCUCGUGCCAGCUUCCAAUAUUCCAUGGCUAUCCUCCACUUUUCUCAGUAAAUCUGUUUACUGGAUAAAAUAGUUUAUCCAUUUGUUUGUUUGUGAAGAAAUGGAUCACAAACGUCACACAACAAAAUAAAAAAGCUCUAGGUGGUCUAUGAUUUGGUGGUACUGCCUACAACCCACCCCCUUGAAUUAUAAAAACGAAGCAGAGAAAGAAAAUGACCACUAAUUUAAAUAUCGAAAGGCAGAUGAUCCCAACUAUCCAUUUAAAAGGCAUCCAUUAAUUCAAGGACUUGACGAUGAGGGUUUUCUGGAUAAAUGCGAACAAUACAAUGCUGAAGCUUUUUUUAUUUCUCACAUACAGUUUAUUAUUAUUAUUGCUGAUGUAUAUAUUUGUUACUCUUGUUAUUUCAGGAAGCGGCAUCUGAUGCUGAUAAGGUGUAUUUGGCUGCGAUUGACAAAUUUGAUGCAAUGAUGUCAAGGAACAAAGCAUAUGCACCUGAUGGUAAGAUUCCUCACUCUCUGUAGCGUAGCUUAAGCAACUUAAUGAUGGGCAAUUAUGCUAGCAUGCAAGAGUACUGAAUUGAAUACCUUCUUCUCAGUCGCAUACCAUUUUGUAUCUUGUAUCUGAAUUUAAAAGGAGUACCAGUGUCUUAAGCUUAGAAUUCUUUCAUUGCAAAUGUUAUUUGUCUAAAAUCAAUCAAUUUCUUCGUAGUGUUUCAGAAUGCACCGGCAGAUACAGUCUUGCUUUACCCUAAAACAAUAAUUUUAUUUUAACGUGAUGACCUAUUGCAGCUUUGUUCAGAUGGGGUGUGGCAUUGCAACAACGGUCGCGUUUACGGCCAAGCAAUGCUAAGGAGAAGAUGAAGUUGCUGCAUCAAGCAAAGAGUCUCUUUGAGGAUGCACUCUGUAUGGAUUCUAACAAUGUUCAAGUAAGAGAAGCUCUCUCGUCAUGUAUAUCCGAGCUGAACUAUAGGCGUUUCUAGCUGUGAAAGUACACCCUUAAUAAGGUUGUUGAACCAUUACAUCUUGCUGCUUCAUAUCCUUCUGUAGAAAUUGGGGCAACAAUUACACUGUACAAGAAUAACACGUCAGAAAAAUGUUGUAAGCAUCCAUUUGCUUUUUAUAGCCUCUUAAUAAAAGUGUUAUAUUUUUCUGUGAACCAAAUUUCUCGACCAUACACUGUUAUUAACAAAAUGUGUAUCGUCUACUGAAUGUUUUUCUGUUCAGCCUGAAUUUUGAGUUCGUAUGCUUAACAUGUAAUAUUUAAUGGCCGUAGCUUGAAGCUAUACAUUGGGGAGGUCUGGAUUUCCCUUUACUCUUUAUCUAUAAAAAUAAAGAAUUGUUAUAUUUUAUCAAGUUUUGCCAUAAUCAGUUUUCUAUGAAUGUCAGUAAAAGCUAAAUAUAAGCCUACAGUCAAGUUCUUUCCACAUUUAACACAUUACUGCUUGUCUCUUCUUGGGGGGGGGGGGGGGGGGGGGGGAAAUGAACACCUGAUAGUAAGAAUAUCAUGCAGUGUCAUACUGUCAUGUUGAUAACCAUAUUGAUACAAACUUAUGAAAUCCACUAUGUGUCUGAGUAACAGUAAUAGAGACCUGCUCUUGAAGCUUCUAUCACUGCUUACCCACCAACAAAGAGAACCAGUUAAUAUCUGCAACAGUAGUUUGGCAUUAUUGUAAAAAUGGGUGAUGGGGAGAAGGACAUGUCUCAGCAUAGCAGGUCUUAAUCCUUUUAUUAUCAAACUGUUGGACUUGUAGACAUAGACCCUGAAAACUAAGUAUAUGAUUUUCUUGGAUAAAUAUCUUGUGAUACAGUAUUUUUUUUUUUUUUUUUUGAUAAGAGUCAUUUUAUUAGAAGGGAAAAUACAACCUGAUCCGUAUUCAACGUCAGUUACACAACCUGCUAAGCUUAAACUCUAAUAUCGAUAUCUACUAAUGUAUUGAUCUGCAAAAAAUAGAUAUAUCGGGAUAUAUUGGAAUCUAUCGGUGGAUAUUUUACGUCGAAUGUAUCGAUUAAUAUAUCAAUUUGUUAUACAAAAUAUAUAUAAAAUCAAAUUUGGAAGUAUAUUAUCAUAGUAUUUACCUAAAAAACAUCAUAUCUACUAAAAAUGGAAUAAACAAAUUAUUUCCAAAAAAAAAAUUGAAAAAAAAUAAUAUUUCUAGAAAAUAUUGGAAAAUAUCAGUAAAUAUCGGAAAAUAUCGAAAAUAUCGGGAAAUAUCAAAAAAUAUCGGCCGAUAUUUUACAGAAACAUCAAGGGGUAAAUAUCGAAAAUGUAUCGUAUCGUUUUUUUAAAAACCGAUAUAUAUCGCGAUAUAUCGGGAUAUAUCGCGAUAUUUUGUACUAUGAGUGCAAUAUAUUGUUCCUACACCAAGAGACCAUUCAGCAGUUCAAACCAGCUCAGCAACACAUCCUGAAAGCAAUAAAACUUCCUUCCUGGCCAACACCCAACCCAGUACCAUAAUGUCGCUUUUGCUUCCAUGCACAACCUUUCAAGAGAUAAACCAGCUCAGCAACACAUCCUGAAAGCAAUAAAACUUCCUUCCUGGCCAACACCCAACCCAGUACCAUAAUGUCGUUUUUGCUUCCAUGCACAACCUUUCAAGAGAUACCAUACGAUCCCUGAAAGUCUUCUCAUUCCUUACCUUCCACAAAUUCCAGAUGACAGAAUACGGUAGAAGAUCCCAUAGGCGUUUUCCCAAGAUGCAAACCUUUAGCUUUUGGCCAAGCAAUUAACAACUCUUCCACUGAAUCAGAAGUUAACACCAAGGAAUAACAUGAUUUUCUAGGCUGCAGUAGCUCAUGCCAAAGGUGCAAUGCCAAAGAACAGUGCAGAAACAGAUGAGAAAUUGUUUUAUUUAGCAACCCACAUAAGAUGUAUACCGGAUCGACAUUAGUGCCUCUGUGAAUAAGAUUAUCCUUGGUGAGAGUUCUAUUAAAAAUUGUAUACCAAAAAAAGAUCUUACACUUGGCUGGAAUCUUGACUGGCCACACCAACUGAUAAGGAAAGUGUUGCAUUGUGACAGUCUGAUCUCUUUCAAUCUCCACCAACUGAUAGGGAAAGUGAUACAGUAUUGUUCUUGAGCUUCCUAUUGUUUGGGACUUCACUUCAUUUUUCCUGUAUGCAAAAUCCUUUCAUAGAAAGGAGCUGGUAUUUUACUUUGAUAACCAAUAGUUAAUUACUUCAAAUCUUUUGGCUUAAAUCUGCUGGAAAGAAUCAGCUAGACGACAUGACAUUAAAGAGCAGUUGGUUAAAUCAUACAUCAUUUUAAGAAAAGUUGAGUUCAAUUUAAGGUAUAUACAGUCGUGAGAUGAAGAUCAUGUAUACGUAUAACUAUGUAAGCAACCGGCAAAAUCCAUCAUUGUACACUUCUGUACUCUAUUAGCAUUUAGCAACAACAAAUUUUAGUCCAGUUUCUCUCAUACCUUUGAGUUUUUAUAAUUUUAAGCAGUGAUCAACCCAUGAUUUGACAUAAAUAUUGAAUUUGACAUUACAGCCCUGCUUGUUUAGGUUGCAAAAAAAGACAAAUCUUUACCCAUCUAUUAUUAGAGUGGUCUCUCCCAUAUUUAACUCUUUAAUUUGAAUGGUCCCCCAACUAAUCUAGCUUAAACUAUAUUGAUCCCCAACCUAAACCUUAGGUAAGUAUGAGAUAAUUAUAGAUGAUCCCCUACUAAGUUUAUUAGAAAAAUAUGUGAAAUCUUUGCACUUUUAAAAUAUCACCAAAUUUUUGCAUAAAAUUUGUUCAUAAAUUUAAGAGAUUUUUGGACAUACCGAAAGUCGAAAUUUGAGAUACCCCCUGAGAUCAUAGUACAAAAUAUCGUUAUCGACUAAUGUAUCGAUCUCCAAAAAAUAGAUAUAUCGGGAUAUAUUGGAAUCUAUCGAUGGAUAUUUUACAUGGAAUGUAUCGACUAAUAUAUCAAUUUGUUAUACAAAAUAUAUAUAAAAUCAAAUUUGGAAGUAUAUUUUCAUAGUAUUUACCUAAAAAACAUCAUAUCUACUAAAAAUAGAAUAAACAAAUUAUUUCAAAAAAAAAAAAUUUGAAAAAAAAAUAAUAUUUCCAAAAAAUAUCGGAAAAUAUCAAAUAUAUCGAAAAAUAUCGGCCGAUAUUUUACAGAUACUUUAAGGCGAAAAUUUCGGGAAUAUAUCGUAUCGUUUUCUUUGAAAACCGAUAAAUAUCGCGAUAUAUCAUGAUAUAUCGCGAUAUUUUGUACUAUGCCUGAGAUACCCCCAUUUGAAAAAAAAUUUGAGAUACCCCAAUUCAAGAUGUGGUGUUAUCUUAGAUGUCCAUCAUAAAACUCACCUACGGUUGUAAAGCUCUUCUGUCUUGAAUUGGGGGUAUCUCAAAUUUCAACUUUCAAAUGGGGGUAUGUCCAAAAAUCUCUAAAUUUAAUUAUCAAGAAUUUCGAGCAUAUUAAAUUAGGCUAAAUUUCAUGCAAAUUUUUGGGGGAUAACAAAGCAGGGCCUACUAGUGGAGUGCAAACUCUAUCUUCACUGUUGAAAUUCCUGGUGUUUUCUCUACACAUGUUGAUUUUUUUUUACUUUAAACAUUUAGAGCACUGCGCAGAAACCAUAUUAGCAUUAUGGAUUGGAUGAUCUCCAUGACAUGGAGAUAAAUCAUACAUCAACUCCAUUCAGCAAAGAGCAUCACUCCAUUUGCUUGUUUUUUCACUUGUACAUAUUUGCAUCUAAACCAUUGGAACAUUUCUUUAUUAUUAAUAAAAUGAAAUUAAUACCUUCUAUACCAAUUCAUUCAAAACACACAGAUUUCCCGGUAAUAAAUCAAGCUUCAUUUUGGUCUGCAACUCUCUCUCUCUCUCUCUUCAAUUCAAUUCUGUUUAUCUUGGUUGUAGUGCAAACUGCAGAGUCGAUUUAAAGCCGCCAACAUCACAAAAUGACGAAAAUCCUGCAUUAUUCUUCUUCUUCCGAUUCAUUCGCUUCAUCAAUCAACAACAACAACAACAACUUUAUCUUACUUAUCUUUCUCUUCUCUUUCUUUCUUUCUUUCUUACCUAAUAAUAGUAAUAAUGUUUGGUCUUUCUUUUUCUCUCUCUCUUCACGGAUUCUCCGUCUUCUUCACACUUCAUUUUUCUUCUUAAUUCACGAUUCUUUCUUCCAACAACAACACUAAACCGAUUCACAUGCCGAACUAUUACUUCUCAUUGUCCGUACACUUUCACUUUCUUACUUCUUUAUUUCAAAUCUACCCAAUUUUGUUUUUUUUUUUUCUCUAUUAAAUUUCAUAUUAAUUUCAUUAAUUUUUUUUUUCUAGAUCUGUUUCUUAUUCAUCCAUUUUAAGUAUGAAUCAAAGCUGUUUUCUAUAUAUUGAAAUGAUUUAUUUUUUCUUUUCUGCAAUCAAAUCAUGUUGUCUUGUUUCCUAUCUAUUUUAAUUUAAAACAAAAAAUUAAAAUUAAUUUAUUUGUAAUUUUAAAUUUAUUAAACGAUGAGGCGGAUUAUAUUACCAGCUUCUGCUGCAAUAUUAGCAAUAAAAUUAGGAUUGGAUGAAGGAAAUGUAUGGGCGAAAGAGCAAUCUCGUAUUGGAUUAGUAAAAGAGAAGAUAUUGUUAACAGAAGGAAUUGUUCCUAGUAGAGCUGAUCAUUUAUCUAAAUUAGUUGAUAGUAGUUUGAAUAAACCUAUAGAUGUUUUAGUUAUUGGAGGUGGUGCGACAGGAUCAGGUGUUGCACUUGAUGCUGCUACUCGGGGAUUGAAGGUUGGACUUGUCGAGAAAGAUGAUUUUUCUUCUGGGACUUCUUCUAGAUCAACCAAGCUUCUACAUGGAGGUAAUUUUCUGUUCUUCACAGAAUUUGAUGAUAUAUUAUUGUUCUUUUCUACUAUUACGUAAUAGUCAGUAACGCUUUUUCCAUGAAUAUUAAAUCGAACCUCAUUGAAUGACAAUGUUGAAAGAGAAAAUGUAUGAAGUCUAUGCAAUAUAAAUAUCUAAUUGUGUUUACUUAAUUUUUGCCGUAAUGAUCUUAUCCCUCACAGCUUUAACCAAUUAACAUGUUUAGGAAAUCAAUCCUUCAUACAAAGUACAAACCCUACCCUGCCCCAACCCUGUCCCCCAAAAAAAUUCACACAUCUUCAUGGUAGCUAUUAUCUAUGGAUCUGACAAUUUUUGCGACUCCUUUAGAGGAAUGCUCCCUAAACUUCUCAUACUAAAGCAUUGUGUUAAGCUAAAAUCCAACAUGCUACUAAAGUGAGAAUUUUAGCUGUAAAUGGCGAGCUGCUCUCCCACUCUCAAAAUUUUGAGGAUCACUUUCACUUUUACUUUUUUACUGGUAGAAUAUAAGCAACUUAUUCUUUAUCAAACAAUAAAUCGGAAAACGAUAUUGUACGAUCGGGACUAGAUGAGGAUCCAUGAUAUCUUCUGGUACAUGAUUUUGAGUGCAUAUAUUGAGGAUUUUGCUACUGCACCUUGAAUGUAUUCCAAAGCUAUAUGAACUGAGGUUUUAGUUUUGCCUUGCUCAUCCUUUGAAUCUUCUAGAUUUCUUGCUCAUGUUUUCAAUCUUCUAUAUUCUGGGGAAGAAUGUACUUUCUUGUUGUAUGUGAGUGUAUCCACAGGCACUCUUGAAUCAAACAGUCAAAUUCUCUCCCCCCAAAACAAUAGAAGUUACUGGACACCAUUUUACUACUACUUGGAUGAUAUAUAACCCGGAAUCUUGAUUCUCUUUCUGCCCAAAUAUCUGUUUAAUAUUUUGCAUCUUAUAGAACCAUUUUUUUGCUCAACAGCAGUAUUUUCAUUUUAUGUUAUUAGUAUAUGAAUCUUGUCUAUUUAAUGGAAUCUUCAAAUCUUAGCAUCUCUAUUUCUUUUCUUUACCAAUUUCAAGCCAGAUCGUAUCUGCACGCUGCAUAUAACUGGUUUUCCAAGAGUCUUUGAUACAUAUAUGUAAAAAUGCCUUGUAUGAAUGAAAAUAUGUCUUGUUUUUGCUUCCUUCUAUGUUCGGUAGGAAUCCUCACACAUCGCCUUUCACUUACUACAGGUGUACGUUAUUUGGAGAAGGCCUUUUUCAAUCUGGAUUAUGGACAGCUUAAGUUAGUUUUCCAUGCACUUGAAGAGCGCAACCGUGUUAUUCAAAAUGCUCCACACAUGUGCCAUCCAUUGCCAACAAUGACCCCAUGUUUUACCUGGUUUGAUGUGGUAUACUAUUGGGCAGGCUUGAAAGCUUAUGAUCUAGUUGCUGGGUCUGCAAUAUUGCAAUUAUCACAUUAUUACCCAGCAAAAAGGGCUCUUCGUGAUUUUCCUACUCUUGCAAAAGAAUUUGAUGGUCGGAAGUUAAGAGGGGCAGUUGUUUAUUAUGACGGACAGAUGGAUGAUUCACGUCUCAAUGUUGAAAUAGCUUGCACUGCUGCUUUGGCUGGUGCCUCGGUGCUUAACCAUGCAGAAGUAACCUCUCUCCAUAAAGAUAAGAUCUCUGGACGUGUAAUUGGUGCUCAUAUUCGAGACAAUUUGACAGGUACAUAACAAAACCGACUGUUCCAUUGAAUUGAAAUUUCACAUGAUUUGAGCAAAACAUGAAGCCCUUACUCUCACAAACUUUCUUGCUGUAUGGUGAGGGUUGUACAUAAUACAUGUCCUUGGAAAAGUAAGGGAUCUUGUAAACAUUCAUUUUCAGUUGGGGUAUUACUAACAUCCUGUCAAAAAGCAGUUGCACCAGGGUACGUUUUAGUGUUUAGUAUUCUCAGGUUGAUUUACUUUUUAAGCAAUGAACACCAAGGAAAUAAAGGUGGGUAGAUUGUAGGAACAAAAUUUCAACACUUAAUUCUCCUGUAAUGUUGAGUUGGUGCAAAUUUCCAUCCUGCAUAAACACUUGCUCUUUUGCUUUCUCUCUAGGAUAUUCUUAGCAAAUUAUGUUAGGAAUGAGGUGACCAACUUCAUGGUUUUCUGAGGUCACUGGAAGACCAUUCAUGGAAAGUUUAUGCUAUCAUUAGCAGUUAGAACUUUAUUAUUCCCUAAAAAUUGCAAGUGGCAAACAACCACUUUUACCAGGGGAUACAAACGGAACUCAGUCAUUGAUCAAAUAGUAUAAGCGACAUUAUUUAAUCUAUACUAUUUAAUCAAACUUUCGAUCUUUAUGAAUUAUGAUGUUGAUAUAAAAUUAUUCUUCUAUGGUCUUUCUUUGUGCAAAAUAUAGUACAAUUUUGUCUGAUUUGAGAAUCUGUUGCAGAUAAAGAAUUUGAUAUAUAUGCAAAGGUGGUCGUAAAUGCUACUGGGCCUUUCUCUGACGCUUUAAGAAAGAUGGCAAACAAGGAUUCUACCAACAUCAUUUGUCCAGCCAGUGGAGCACAUGUGAUCCUUCCAGAUUACUAUACUCCAAAGGAUAUGGGCUUAAUUAUUCCCAAAACCAAAGAUGGCCGCGUGGUGUUCAUGUUACCAUGGAAUGGUAAAACAGUGGUUGGAACUACAGAUUCUACAUCUGCAAUAACUGAUCUACCAAAACCACGUGAAGAUGAGAUAGAGUUCAUCUUGAAUGCCAUUAGUGACUAUCUGAAUAUCAAGGUAAGCCAUAUUAAGCUUCUUAUCAAAAUGUUGCGACCUCUAUGAGUAUCUCACCAAUUACGAUACGUACUUGGCCCAAUAUGGAUGUAGUCAUAGGAUACAAAUUGAUACCAACACUAGAAAUUUUCUUGGACACUUCUCGCUUGUGUCCUAUCACGCUGAAUUUUUUUCUUCAGCUGUCAAUAUUUUCUUAUUCGCUUUGUCAUUAGAAAAAUGCCUGAACAUUAUCUUGCAACGAAAACAAGAGAAUGUUAGCAGAAAAUGCAGGAAUGAGUUGCAUACUCAUCACCUGGAAAAGAGGCUUUUUUUCGUCUUGAGAUUUUAGAUUAGGUACUUGAAAGUUGGAUUUUAUGGACAAAUCAAUUUUUUAGUGAGGUUGCCUUUAUGCAACUUAUUUGUGUGUUGUCUGCUAGAGUCCCUCAAGAAGUAUGCAACUAAUACAUCAAUUAAUUCAUCAAUCAUCAUAGAACCUACAUGACUGACUAGAACAAUUGAUAUACCUUAGUUUUGUUCUUUGGGAUAUUUAUUUGUUUAUUGUGUGUCUACGGGCAAUGUGAAUGUGGCUACAAGACGCUGCAUGACUUCCUGUUAACAGGGGCCUCAAUAGGAACAAAAGCACUAGGAGAAUUCGAACUGGGACCUCCUCAUGUGUGUGUUGGGGUGGGGGGGGGGGAACUACCAACUUCACUGUUCCGUUAUAUGUAUUCAGCUCUUCACCGAAAUAGUGUGUCCUUCUUUGAGACAGCUGUGCACAUGAGAUAAGUUCUAUAGCUGUGGUACUCACGUUUAUUUAUUUCAGGUUGGGCGCUCUGAUAUCCUUUCCACGUGGAGUGGAAUACGUCCUUUGGCGACUGAUCCUUCUGCAAAGAACACUUCUAGCAUUUCCAGGGAUCACAUUGUAAAUGUUGAAUGCCCUGGAUUUAUUACAAUCACUGGUGGUAAAUGGACUACUUACCGAAGGUACUUGUUCAACUACUUUUAGAACGACCUAUCAACUUUCAAAUUCCUCUUGCAUGAAAAGUGAACUCAAAUCUCAUCUUAAGGUUAAAAUAUGGGUUUCAGUGUGGAUUUAAGGGUUUGUUUUUAAAUUAAAAGAUGCUAAUAUGAGUUUUUAACUUUUUAAUUUUCAACUAGAAAUACCUUUAUAACUUAAAAGCAACUCUAACUAAAAUUUAGUUUACUGCGGGCAAUUUAUGUAUGUCAUUACACAUUUAUGUUGGAAAUUUGGAAUUGUUAUAGAAAAUAUCAACAUGUAUAUUUGUUUUUAGGUUACACCGUUCCAGAUGCUAUAUUGUGAUAUUUACAGUUUUAGAAAUGGUAUAGAAGAUCUUUACUGCUAUAUUUGUUUCAAAUCUGAGAUAUGCUAACUUACUAUGGUUGUGACUUUCAGCAUGGCUGAAGAUGUGCUGAACACAGCUAUCAAGCAUGGGGAACUCAGCCCUCUGAGUACCUGUGUCACAGCAGAUCUUCCACUCAUGGGUGCUUAUGGAUGGGAGCCAUUGCUUUUUGUGCAGUUGGCUCGCUCAUAUGUUCCGAAGAAAAAAACCAAGGAUGGAAAAAUUAAGCCCGAGGCAAUGGAUACUACAACUGCAAAACACCUCUCAUGUGCAUAUGGAAGCAUGGCCAAACAUGUGGCAACUAUUGCACAGGUUAGAACUUUCAGGCCAUAACAUGGUCUCAAAUGAAAUUAGGUUUAAACAUUAUGAUUUCCACCAGCAAACUCUUAGUUGUAUGAAAUUAGGUCUCAAAUGCAGUUUGGUUUGGUCUCAAAGAAUGAUGACUUGUUGUAUGAAACUGUGAUUUCCAUGCAGCAAACUCAACUGAAAUCUGAGAACCUAAAAAAGAUUGCUUUAAAUACAGCUGGAAUAGAGAAGGCUUACAAGUACAAGUGAACAAUGAUGACCAUGACCUUUAUGAUCCUAAAUCCAAAAUACUUUUGAAUGGAAGCAUUGUCUUUGUUUCUUUUAAAUGGUUAGACGCAUCCCCACAUGGCUUGCUUGGUAGAAAAUAUAUAUGCUUGACCCUUAUCACCAUACUUUGGAAUUACUUUGGCUCUCAGCUCAUUCACACUGUCUUCAAACUAAGUUUUUUCCAAAAUUUUCAUUGCAAUUGGUUAUUUAUUGCAGGAUGAGAAUCUAGGUAAAAGACUUGUUCAUGGAUAUCCUUACCUGGAAGCUGAAGUGGCCUACUGUGCUAGGAAUGAGUACUGUGAGACCGCCAUUGAUUUUAUUGCAAGAAGAACUCGCCUUGCCUUUCUGGAUGUCCGUGCAGCAAAACAAGCCCUCCCACGGGUGAUUGAGAUACUUGCAGCUGAGCAUAAAUGGGACAGAGAAAGGAAGGAGCAGGAGCACAACAAAGCUGAAGUGUUUCUCCACACCUUCAGAACCUCCACGUAUGAGCCAGGGCAGAGCCGCGUCUAGAUGUCAUGUUUUACGUAAUUAGUCGAUACAUCUAGAAUUAGAAAUGGGUGGAUAGCCCAAUUUUUUUUACACCAUGACUUGUAUUUUUUUAACAGAUACAACUACAAAGAUAGAAUUACUCAAGAGAACCAUAAUAAAAAUUGGAUUAGGAAGAAACCAGUCCUAUUGGCUGGAAAAUAUCUGUAUAAGAUUUAUGUUCUCAAUAAAUUUAGGAAUGCAUCCUCUUGUCAAUAAUGCAUUUGAUUUAUUUCACUGGAAAAAACUUCAAUUGUUGUUCAGCACUGUUCUUCGACGAACGACCCCAAUACAACAAAAAUCCCAGCUUGCUUUGAGUAGUUUGAAUUCAUCCCUUGUCCUUGUAAUUAAAUUGUCUUAAGUUAUUUUUAUCAGUUGCAAUCUGUCAUCAUCAUCUCUAGUUGUUCAACACGUCAACAUUUGACACCUCUGGCUAGCCAGCACUUUCUAAAUGAUGACCAAAGGGAAGGGUAAAUAAGUUGCACCCUUUCCACACCAAUGUAUACAGCCAAAGUAUCUGCAGUUUAUGUGGUUUAUCUGUAGACGUGGUGUAUAACAACCUGAAAACUCUUUCAGAGCUCCCAAAUUCCUUGCACCCUACUUUCCUAUAUCCCUGGCAUCUCUUCCUCUUUCCUUGUAAUCUCUACUCGAGUACGGUGCAUAUUCAGAUCUUUUAAUACUGCGAUAAUACAUUAAUACUGCUCUGAUAUCCCAGUACCGAGUGCAUAUUCAGAUCUUUUAAUACUGCGAUAAUACAUUAAUACUGCUCUGAUAUCCCAGUACUGAGUGCAUAUUCAGAUCUUUUAAGAUAGCUCGUCCCACAGGUCACCAUUUAUUCUGCAAAGUAUCUUGUAAAUUCUGAAAUUUGCAUUCCAAGGUUGUCUUCAGUUUCAUUAGUCUCACCAUCUGGUCCUCUUCUUCUUUUUAAACCUCCCAUAAUUUCUUUUUCUGGAGAAAGAAAACUGAAGAAAAAGCAGGAAGAAGUCCUGCACAUGCCCAUCUAUUUCCAAUUUUCCAUUCUACAUUAGCAUGAAAAAAUGAAUUGGGAUUGGUUGAUGAUCUAUGUGUGACAAGCUUAUCCUGUGUUUGCAGAGCUCCUAAUCAUAGUAGCAAAGCUAGGAAAAGUAACCUUACCAUAAUGUUUCACCAUUUCCUUAUCAGAGCUUCUAUUCAAGUACAGUAUGAAUAAGGAACCACUAGGCACUAGCAAGAUUUUGCCUGAAGCUUUCAGUCCAAAUUAACUAAUCUGAUCUCACUUCUCCCUCAUUCCCAAUGCUUUUAGGUCUCAUUCGUAUAUUAAUAUUGGUUUGGCUCCCACCAGCACAUCAUGGCAAUAUGAAAUCUUUCACCAUUCUUAAUGCAACAUUUCAUCAUAUUGCAGCAGCCAUCAGUCUGCCAACUCACGCCCAGCUAAUGGAAGAGACUUCUGUUGCCAAAUAGCGGAAUACAGCAACAAGGUGGAAUGCUUGUCAAAUUUAGUCACGCUACUACAAAAGUUGAAGAUGGAACAAUUCAUAUCCACUCUUGAUUGUUGUUGUGGACUUGUGGUAUAUCCCUCAUUUGCAGUUUCAAUUUACUGAACAGCUCAAAUGUAGAAAAACACUAGUGUUUCGGUGUUUCCCACUGGACCAAGAAGCCAAUGAUGAAUGGAAAAAGGAAAUUCUACAUAUACUUUGUCCAGUUGGUAAGGUAAUGGCUAAUCAAAGAUGCAGCGCAACAUAAGGCGUUCCUAAUGACUAGCGCCCUAGCAUCUCCAUAGCAGAAAGCACCAGCAGCACAAUUAUUACACUGCCAGGCAGUCAAUGUUUGAAUCACUUGCCCUUCCAUUGUGCCUGACCAAUAUGUGAUGAGUAGGGUAAGGUCAAAACAUAUAAUCAAACAUAGCAAACUCAGAUAAAAAAGCAUCAGAUACCAGAGGUCACUCUGAGCAACUGCUCAAGCAUAUUGGUUGAAACUAAAAGAUCUUUAUAUUUUCCUUACCACUAUCAUUUAAUUUUGGCAUGUUCAGACAAUGACUUACUUUAGCACGACCAAGCUAUGAUAAAAAGAUACAGAGAAUGACAUCAGAUUAAUUUUACAAUGAAUUACUUGAAUGUAGCUGUUUCUGCCUGAGGUUCAUAUUCAGAUAGCAAUCUAAACUUGAGAAUUUUAUGAAGGCUAGCAAUAGGUUUAAUUUGCUUUGCUGUUGCUUGGUUUGGAUCAACAAUGCUUUUGCCCUUGAAAAGAUUUGCUCCAGAUGGCCCUGUUUCUUGGUGUACCAAUGGACCACUAUCUGCCAAAAAAGUAUUUAAUUUAGCCUCACAAGGUACAAGUAAUAACUGAGAAACCAAAAUGCUAGAUCAUUAAUAUUAUCAAGGACGGAUGUGAUGAAACAUAAGUGGACUUGUGGAACAGAUGCUAAGAAAGUUACACGAUGACUCCAUGGGGGCACGAAGAUGCUCAAAGGCCAGUUUUCUUCAGGUGUUAGACAUUUGGAAUAUUUAAGAUGAUUAUGUUACAGCAUAGGCUCUCUGCAUCUAUCCAAUCUCUAAAAUGAGAGGAAUAGUAAGUACUUAAAUUCAAAUCUGGAUUUUUCUUUGGUAAUAUAAUAGUGAACUAGUGAUCUUUCCAACAGUGAUCGAAAAGGCUGUAAAAAGGAGGAAAAAAACACAUAUGUAAGUUUUCCUGAUGAUCACUCCAAACAAUAUGUGCACACCUAAAGAAAAUUAAUGCCGAAAGAGAAAACCCCAGGCCUUAAUACAUCCACAUGGCAUAUCAAAUGUAAAGUUACAUUUUCUCUCCACUAGUUAAACUAAGAUGCAAAGAAAUCCUUCCAAAUAAAUCAUUUUCAGAAUUGGUAAAUAUUGAGCUGAAGUACGGAGGGUUGGCUAUUGCACAACGAAAUGCAUAAACAAAAUCUUUACCCUGAAAAAUGGGAUGGAAGUUGGAACAACAAGCAAACAAUGUGUGCAGUCGGCAGGAACUUUAUAAGAUAGAAUCAAGAUGGUAGAGCAUGGACUGUUCACUAAUAAGUAGAUAAAGCAAUUUAAAGUCAAGCAUUCAGCCUUGUUCAUAUGUAACUAUCCAGGUUAUUUUAUAAUAAUCUGACCUGUUUCAGUGAAUACAUAGCAAGUCCCGAUGGUCUCGUCGUAUUCACCAAUCUGUGAUUGACAAUGGACAGUAAUAAGAAGAACUUAUUAAAAAAAAAAAAAAAAAGACUUCUGGCUCAAGUUGUAGAUAGGUGUAGCAAAGAAACAACUUACCAGCUUCAAAUUAUCACCAAUAGUCAAGAUUGGAUUCAGCGUGUCCAAACCCUAGAGUGUACAGAAGAGUAUUAUAAAUUGAAAUUCUUAAUUGCACUUAGCACUAGAAUACAAACAAAGGGUAGAGUCCAUUGUACUGUAGGUACAAUCCUAGAUUACAUGCCAUGUCAGCUGAUUGUACCAGAAUCCAAAAAUGCCACAUCGUUAUUUAUACAAGGGAAUAUGAAUGGAUCUUGUGUAUCUAUGCUGAGUAGCUAUUAAAGUCAAUUAUUACUUCCGACAUAGGAUGUGUUGACGCAAACUGGCAACCACAAGUCCACAACUCAUAAAAAUAUAAGAUUCCAUAUUCAGGCAUAUGAUUACAUAUUUGCACAUACCGAUAAGACAUAUGGGGUAUUUGCAGGGAUGUUCAUUUGUCCAUAAACAGCCUCAAGAUCAAGUAAGACAUAUUCUUCUUCCACGACAUUCUCGUUUCUGUUUGAGUUGUCUUCCAUAUCCUGCAGUAUCAAUGGCAAGUAAUUAGCCCAUGGAUAACCUAACACCACGUCGCAAUUGGCUUUGAUUCAUCACACUUCAAAUUAUCAAUCUUUGCUAAGUGCAUGAUAUCAAUGUCAACAAACUCAAUGGAUUGACUGUGAAAAUAAAUAUGACAACUAUAUAUCUAUAUAUCAAAACUUAAAACUACCAUAUAUAAAUUAGUAAUGCAAUUUAAAAUUUCUGGAGCCAUUUCCAGAUAUGUGCAAGUAGUGUACUCGUGUUGUUUCUUAUAGGACGAUGUUCCAAAAAUCACAAUCACCUCCUUUAUAAAACAGAUUCUAACAAGAACACAGAGCUGAUGAAAAGUUGGAAAAGUACCUAGAUUUCAAAAAUUUCCCUAAUAGAAGAUUGAAAUGUAGUGCGCCAAAGAUACCAAAAGGGUAUAAGGACCUGAAAUUAAUUCAGGAAAUCCUGACUCGUAACCAUCUAAACCUGCAAAGAAGCAAAGAAUAAACUUUACAAAAGUUUUAUCUAUCUUCAAUAAAUUUUAACUUUAAAAGAACAAUUGUAAUAUUCAAACAAACAAGUAAAUAACAAAACUUUAUUAUAGAGAGGAAUGGUGUUUUAACAAAAUUUGAGUGAUGGAUGGGGGUCUGUCCUCAUUCUGAUCAUCUUCUUGCAUUUUACAAUCACACAAACAUCCAGCAGAAGACACGCACAAUAACACAAAGAGAAUAAUACAGUGAAUUGGGCUUAAAUCCGAACCUCUAAGAUAAUUAAAUUUCUAAACUAGGUGAAUCAUUUCUGAUUCAUACCAGACAUCCAGUUCAACACAGGAAAAACAAAUACUGCAGAUAAUGAUGAAUAUAACCUUUCCUGUAUACAUAAGGACAUCUGGAGAUUCAAAACUCAAAAAGACUAAUUAAUUUAUGAAGCAGUAGAUAUUUAUAUUUUGCUCAAGACAAGGUCUCACAUGGGUGUUCCCAACUGCUAGUCACCCAUGUGAACAAGCAUUACUGUGUUGUAUGUGAUCAACACCAGAGAGCAUCCUUUGUUGCCUAGUUGAUGAAGUAACUCUAUUACAAGAUCAACUUUUCCAUCCUUACAAAAGCAGUGAGCAACGUGUUGUACGUUAUGAUAUCUGGAUAGCAACCUCUUGACACCAUUACAUCUACGUACUUCAUUGCCCUGCCCUUUUUGUUUAGAGAAUCCAUGAUGGUUGUUGUGACUUAGAGAAUUAGGAGUGCAUCGACUACAGUAUAUUCUCUAAGAUAUCAAUUUGAUACAACCCAAUAAGGCUUUCACAAGAAGCUGAUUAAAAUAUUGAAUGUAACACCACUAGGUAAACAGCCUUUACAAAUCAUAUCAGCUAAGUGUUCUACUGCAUCCAUCCACCUUCCUGUGGUACACAUGCUACAAAGGAUAAUAACAUUUGGUUGGCACCCAUAAGAUGGCAUGUUACUCAGAAAUUUGAUCGCUUCGUCGAAUCUCCAAUGAUAAGAACAUUAUAACUACCUACAUCAGGCUAAUGUCCUAUCCUAUACUCCUCAUUUAAUCCAAUGUCUAACCCCACUCUCAUUACAAUUGGCUUCAAUAUUGUUGUAUACGUAAAACCAUCAGGAUAACAUCCCCUUUGUCAUAGAUGAUCAAGAACUUCCAUUGCUCAUUUCAGCUUCCACGAUCACAUAGACAGGGAUGGACCACAGGAGGGUAUUAUACGUAGUGACAUCAGGGGCAACAAUCGGCUGGUCCAAGAGUCGCAGAGCAUUUUCAAUCUCACCAUAUUUGCAGUACCCAAAUAUCAACACAAUGAAGGUUAUAAAAUCCAGAUGAGCCCCAGACUGAAUCCUUGUCACUGACUUAGUCUUAGAAAUCUUACAAAACCCCCAAAUCAAAUGUAAUUAUAUCAGGUAAUUCGUGGCAGUGACAGACCAUUAAAACUAAUAAGCUCUAGCUUUGAAACUGAAGAAACCUGAUUUCAGUAUUACUAGGUUGUCUCACGAAAGACAAAACCAUUAUUAUUGUUGCAAAAACUAAACUCAGAAGAAACUUAAAGCUUCUCCCAAACUAUGGUUGUUCUAUGGUAUUUUAAUUAUGAAUGAAGAUAGCACAGGUUUGCUUUGCAGGUACAAACAACCAAAUUCACAAUUUUCUUCACUUGUAUUUAUUAAGAAAAAAAAGAAAGAAAGAAAGAAAAGUUCCUUUCUAGAACAAAAAACUCAAACAUGUUUGUAGAAAUGCCCAAGAGAAGAAUACAAACAACACAACUAUAUAUUGAGAUGAGAAGAGAAGAGAAGACAACAAGAGAGCUUACUUACUAUGUAUGUAGUGAGAAAGAGUUUGUAGUACUGAGUGCUUACUAUCUCUGGUUCAAAAUGUUGAAAGCGAGAGAGGUGAAAAGACACUCUCCAGUCUCCACCUUCAAUUCAAUCAAAGUGGCAAACAAACAACACAUCAAUGGAAGUAAAACUUUGUAUUAGGGCAUCAAACAAUGACCUCACUGGAUUCUUGGAAGAGAGAGAGAGAGUGUCUCAUGUGUGUGUGUGUGUCAGGUCCAAGCCCAACAGUAGAUAUUGUCCAGCCCAUAGUCUGAUGAUAAUAGGUGUCUCUAUAUGAUUGGUCUGGUGAUUAUAAGAGUGAUAUUUCUGUUUCUUUUCUUUUCUCUCUCAUCAUAUCUUAUGCAUUUUUCUUCUUCUCUAUAAAGUAUAAACUCAACAAGAAAAUGCCCGUAAUUUAAAGGUGUCUUUCCAGUAGAUUACAUUUGGUUACAAAGUUAUGAAAAACAUGCAUUAAGUAACAUGUAUUAACCUAUUUCUAGAUUAAUGCACUACUAGAUCAGGUCGUUGGGCGACUUGACCAAAGGGAAAGUUUUAGAUCGGGGUGGCUGCACCUCGUUGAGAUUGAGAUUGCCUACGUACUCUUAGCUCGAGCGGAUUGAACUUAGAGAUCAAUCCAUCGUAGUUCUGUUCUUAUAGAAGGUAGAAAGGCGUGGAUCGUGGAUCUUGUAGAUUCUCCGUCAUCAUAAUGAGAAUUAAUUGUGUAACGCGCGAGGAUCAUCCCUGUGAAUUAAUUAUGUAACUGACGAGGAUAUUCUGUGCAUUGAAUGAGAGCACGUGUGUAUUAGCAGGCCGCUGCUUGUCAUGAGAUCGAGUUGUUGUGGUCGAGCUACUAGCAGGUAGAGAUCGUGGCGACCUGAUGGAUGAAUGAUUGUGCCACGUGGCUGCUUUUGAUUGGUUGGAGUAUGUAGUACCCCUACAUAAGCCCCCUCUUUUUAGGUCGGCUGUAUAAGUCGGGCUGAAAAGACUAAGAACUCUGAUCGAUGCUGAUUUGUAGUUUGCUUUUUGAAUUUGCGGACGUGGCAGUCAUGCAGGCUUGCCUGUACUAAUCAUGGCGCUUUUACGGGGAAGUGGAGGAUUUUCCUCGAGCAGCUAGCAGUGCAGUUAUGGCAACUGACGCACUUCUUGCUUGAUAUAGUCUUUGCGUGGCACGUGGGUUGAUCCGACGGUGGACGUGAAUCACUUAUUAAGUGGAAAAUAACUGCAAUUGUUAUGGUUUCUGUGGUCGAUCUCAGCCGUUCACCUGUUUCGAACCGAUGGCUGGGAGUACUUGUGCUACGGUAUUUAAACUGUAGCUCUCUUGAGAAGGGUUUACCUAUCUCGCCUUUAUUUGAAUUGCUGCCGCUUUUCUCUUGCGAUCUGAAGAACUUUGAGAGCUCGUGAGGUUAGUUUUUUUCUCUUUCUUUUCUUUUAUCUUCUGUUUUCUUUUCUGUUGCUUGAGAGAAAUAUCUGACGCGAGUGACUCUCAAAAUGAUAACUUGAGUGGUGGUGAGGAGUAUGAGUCUGAAAGGACUCAAUCUGAACCCUUGUCUCCCGUUCAUGGUGUGGACUCUGAUAGCCCCCAGAGUAGCGGCUCUCACGGGGCGGACUCGUCUGACGAAGAGAUGGUGGAAGGAGACGACGGUUCAAUGUGUAGAGUAGUGAACCUGAAGUAUGUAAAUAGGCAUAUUGCAUUUAUCAAGCAAUAUGGGCUUGGCUCGAUUGAGCAUUUGGAGAUUAGAUUUUUAGGAGAACGUCUACUUUCUUCUGAUUAUCGACCUAAAAAUCCUUUCUCGACUGUUUUUACCUUGGCCCAAUUCCGAGCUGGGCUGAGGCUGCCAUUGUCUUGUUUGGUGGUCGACCUGUUGAAUGCUAUUGGUCGAGCUCCUUGCCAGAUGAAUGGCAAUUUCUGGAGAAACAUGAGGGUAAUUGAUGACCUCAACAAGCUACAUAAGUGGAACAUCACUGUAAAUGAUGUGUUGGGUCACUUCAGCUUUAAACAUUCUUCAAAGGCCGAUUUCGCGGGCUAUAACAUGCAAACUAGGCCAGAACGUUUGCCUUUGAUCUAUCCGAUAAGUAGUGAGCCAUGGUGGAAAGAUCUCAUGCUGAUUACUGGGUCGAUCAUUAAGGGAGUAUCCAGUUGCGUCAUGUGACUAGGAAUGAUGCUCGUGAGUUUCUGGUUAUUAGUCUGAACAUGGUAGAUGUUUUUCCUGUUUGCGGACUUGAUGAUUUUGUAUCUUUUUGCAGCGAUCAGGGACGAUCAUCUUUUGAGGAAGAACGAUCUGCAGUCCGCUUUGAACGGUUUUGGUUUCUUAUCUGACAACCGUAAAAUACAGCUCUUACCCCACCUGAAGGAGCAUUUUAUUCCCAAAGGUGGUCCGAAAACCGUUGAAGAAGAGCUCGAGAGGAGGAAGUCGCUGAAGAAGGCCUAUAUGACUUCUGUACAUAAAGCUGAGGCUGGACGUUCUGGUGGUAGUUCGCGUGCUGGGGAGAAGGAACGAGCUAGUGGUAGUUCGAGGCCUGAAGAGAGAGAGCGAUCUAGAAGCGCUGCUCGGAGGUCGGAGAAGGAACGAUCUGGUGUUAGUUUGCGCCGGGGGGAGGUAGUGGCGAGCCCCCCAGUCGUAUCCCCUCGACCUCACUUCCCAAAUUACCUGCCUUGUCCGGGAAGAAGAGGUCAUUGUCAGGGAACCUGAAGUUGAUGGAGCCUCCAACUAUGCCAUCCCCUGCUCUUCCAAAGUUCGUGAAAUCUUCUGAGCCUCCUCUUUAGUCCAGGAAGACUGCUGCUGGGCCUUUGCAGAAAGGCAAGGGGGUAUCGUCUGAGUUUCGCCCUGGGCCGUUUGAUUAGUUGGAUGGCCGCGGUGAGAAGCAUGUCGUGUAUGAUAACGACAGUGCUAUUGACGACCCCUGCGUUGCUCGGGCUGUGAAUGAGGGCAUCGUCUUGGAUGCUGAUGCUCGAGCAGUGAAGUCACAGACUUUGUUGGUGACCUGCUCAAAGAUAAACGCGUCGCUGUCUUUGGUGAGUGUGAUCAUAAGUCUCUUUUUUUUUUUUGGUGUGCUUAGUCAUUGCUGACUAAACUCUGUUUGCACUUGCAGCUCAACGCAAGCUUCCAGGAGGUGCGUCUGGUUGCUGAGGUUGGUGCUCGAGCUGAGAUUGAGUUGAAGGACCUCAACGAGAAGCUCGAGCAGGCGAAGAAUGUUGCUGUUGUUGUUGAGUGCAAGGUGAAGGACAUGGAUGCGCAGGUCGCGGCGUUGAAGGAGAUGGUGGAGCAGUUAAAGGAAGAUUCUGCUGCUGCUAAGGCUUCUGCUGAAUACGCUAAGGCUUCUGCUGAACACUGGGAGCACGCAUGCCGAGAGAAUGGCGCAGCGUGGAAGGCCUACUGCGACAACUUGAAGGAAGCUUUGAUGGGGUCGCCCGAAGGAGAGGAGACGCGAGGUGGUGCUGAUGGAGCUUUGGUGCCAGCUCAGGACACCUUGAUGGGCCCUAAUGACCAGGUCGCCAGUGGCCGUACGGAGAUUGAUGGUUCCGGCGACCAGUCUGUGCAGCAGUGAGCUAGUCCCGGUACCGACCUUCUUGUCUUGGGUAACCUUGUGCAAAGUUUGCUUCUUGCACUCCUUGUUCUUGCAGUAUGUCUUCUUUGGCCUUUCUAAAAGCAGUCUUCUGAGUUUGUAAGCUCGAGUAAACAAUCAUUUGUUUUGUUUGGAGUUGUAAUGAACAACGGUAAUUUAUUUGAUGAGCUUGUAAUUAAGCCGUUCUGAUCAGCUAGUUUCCAGGGAGUCCUGGUAGCUCGUUCAGAAGGCAGGUAGACGAGAUGAAUGGCUGCAAACAGGACGAACUGAAAUAGUUCUUCUUGUAUGCCUUAGUUUAACUUUGCUUUUACCUGUAAUGGUUAGAAUCUCAUCAAGUAAAAAGAAAUUUCAAUGAUUUACCUUACAUUGUCAUUCUUGUUACGUUGUCUGCUUGUAUGAGUUUUGCAAACAAGUAGUGAUCAUAGUGCUGGACCUGCUGGUGGAUGAGGUCGUAUGCAUGGUUGCUUGAUUGUACAUGGGUCGUGGGAAUGAUGUGACCAAUGCACCAAGUUAAGUUGCAGAUGUUUGAACUUAACAAAAUUAAAAUUAUCAAAGGGACUAGAUUUUUGAUAAUUUGUAGGUCGAGGGAUUAGACCUUUGGGAGCCAUUCAUGUUUGACCCGAGAUGAAGGCAAAAAAUGAGUUUAUAUAUUGAAAUGUGAUAAAUAGAUGCUUACAUUUCAUUGAUAAAACUUCUUCAAGUGAUAAGCAUUCCAUGGGUUCUUAACGAUCUCCCCUUCUGGUGUUUGAAGACGAUAAGAACCGUUGCUUUGGACCUUGGUAAUGAUGUAAGGGCCUUCCCAAUUGGCAUUGAGCUUGCCAAUAAUAUCCUUCCUUUUGUUGUGGAACAUUUUUCUUAGAACUCGUUCUCCUGGUUGAAAAGAUUUAGGUCGUACGCCUUUGUUAUAAGCUCGCUUAAGUCGUUGUUGAUAUUGCUCAAGCUUUAUAACGACGUGGUUUCGUCGCUCCUCGAGGAGAUCAAUUCCGAAUGACCAGACCUGAUCAUUAAGCUCUGUGUCGACCAGAAGGGAUUUGGUCGUUCCGAAUGUUAACUCGGUGGGAAUAACGACCUCAACUCCAUAGCAAAGACUGAAUGGUGACAUCCCUGUGGAUGUACGAGGGGUUGUUCUGUAAGCCCAUAGGAUGUUUUCCAACUGUUGUGGCCAUUGAUCGUGUUGAUUUUCGAGCUUUUUCUUUAAGUUGUUCAGAAUCUGUCGAUUUGCAGCUUCGACUUGGCCGUUGGCUUGUGGAUAUCUAGGUGUUGACCUGGAAUGUUCGAUUUUCCAUAGCUCGUAGAAAGCUUUGAUGUUUCUGCCAACGAACUGAGUGCCAUUAUCCGUUACUAUCCGUUUUGGUAGACCAAAUCGUGUGAUUAUGUUUUCCCACAUGAAUCUUUGAACAUCGGCUUGAGUGAUGUUGGCGAGUGCAACGGCUUCUACCCAUUUUGUGAAGUAGUCAAUGGCGACUAGAACAAACUUCUUUUCAGAUUUCUUUUCUUUGAUAAAAGGGCCCAUGAUAUCUUGCCCCCACAUGUGAAAUGGCCAUGGCGCAGUGAUGUUGAUUAGAUCGUUUGGAUGCUGAUGCUGGUUAUCAGCAAAAUGCUGGCAUUCUUUACACUUCAACACAAAUUUCUUGGCAUCUUCUUUCAUUCUUGGCCAGAAAUACCCCUGGGAGAUCGCUUUAUGAGCUAAUGUUCGACCUCCGGAGUGGUUUCCGCAUUCUCCUUCGUGGAUUUCUUCGAAAAUGAUCUGGCCAUGCUUGGGAAUCAAGCACCUUAACAACAGACCGGUUGCAGAUUUUCUGAAUAGCUUACCCUCAUGAAGUUUAUACAUAGUGACUUUAUGUAAUAGUUGACUGACUUCCUUUUUGUUGGAUGGAAGCACACCAGUUUGAAGGUAAGUGAUGAAAGGUUCCAUCCAAGUUCCUUGGAUGUCUGCUGUUGUUGUGGCAAGCAGAUCCGAGAUUUGAUGAACAUUUUCCUCUUUCAACAGAUAUGCGGGCUGUAUACUGAUUGCUAUAGUGAGAGCCCGCGGUCGAUCUGACUCGAUCUUAGAUGCUAAGAAUGUCAGUGAAUCAGCGUAUCUGUUGUCAUCUCUAGGGAUGUGUUCGAUUGUGAAAUAACUUAGCUUGCUGAUAAGUUCCUUUGCUCUGGUAGCAUAUCUGAUUAAGUUGACACCAUUGAUCUGGUAAUUAUUGGUAAUCUGAUUGACUACCAAUUGAGAAUCACUGUACACCUUGAGGCGGACUGCCUGUAGGUCGAUAACCAUUUGUAUGCCUUGGAUUAGAGCUUCGUACUCGGCCUCGUUGUUGGAGGUCGAGAAGUCGAGACGAGUUGCUCUCUCGAGCUGUGAACCCUCAGGAGAAAUGAGCACAACACCUAUGCCACUUCCGUUGGAGUUGUGGGAACCGUCAACAUAUAGUUGCCAGGUGUCGGGGGGAUUGACCUGGAGUUGUCUUGUUUCUGGCUCUGGUUCCCAAUUGAUGUCUUUUGCGGGAUAGUCUGCUAAGAAGUCUGCAAUGACCUGUCCUUUGACGGCCUGCCGAGAGACGAACUCAAAUGUGUAAUCACCCAGCUCGGCCGCCCAUCGAGCCAUACGACCUGUUUUGUUCUUCUUUUCUAAUAUAUGUCGUAAUGGCUGGUCGGUGAUUACUUUGACAGUGUGGGCUUGGAAAUAAGGUCUGAAUUUGCAUGCAGCAUAAAGGAGAGCUAAUGCUAAUUUCUUUAGAGGUGUGUACCUUAUUUCGGCCUGUUGUAAGACUUUGCUCGUGAAGUAAAUUGGUCUUUCGACCUGAUUUUCCUCUUUGAAAAGCACUGCACUGAUCGCAAAAUCUGAAGUUACGAGGUAGAUACCGAGUAUAUCUCCAUCAUUAGGCUUAGUAAGAACUGGCGGAGUGGAUAAAUAUGCCUUGAGGUCGGUGAAGGCCUUCUCGCAUUCUUCUGUCCAUUCAUAUGUAGCCCCCUUCUUAAGAAUAUGAAGCAUUGGUCGACAUUUAUCUGAUGCUCUAGAAAUGAAUCUAUUGAGAGCUGAUACCAUGCCGUUGAGUUUUUGGAUCUGCUUCUUUGUUUUCGGGUUGGGCAUGUUAAUCAGUGCUCUGAUCUGGUCCGGAUUUGCUUCGAUGCCUCGUUUUGUGACUAGGUAGCCGAGAAACUUUCCUGAUGCGACCCCGAACAGACACUUCUCUGGAUUAAGACGCAUCAUGUAUUGUCUUAGUCUUUGGAACGCCUGGUUGAGAUUGUACAAAUGAUCCUGCUCUUGGCUGCUCUUGACCAGCAUAUCGUCAAUGUAGACUUCCAUUGUUCGACCUAGCAGGUCGUCGAACAUUCUGGUGACCAGUCUCUGAUAGGUCGCUCCUGCAUUCCUUAAGCCAAACGGCAUAACCUUGUAGUAGAAAAUGCCUUGCUCUGUUGUAAAAGAGGUCUUCUCCUGGUCGGGCUCGUACAUUGGGAUCUGGUUGUACCCUGAGUACGCGUCCAUGAAUGACUAUAGCUCGAAACCGCUUGUCUGAUCGACUAACCUAUCGAUUCGUGGCAGUGGGAAUGAAUCUUUAGGACAAGCUUUGUUCAAGCUUGUGAAGUCGAUGCAGACUCUUGUUUUCCCAUUUUUCUUUAAGACUGGCACGAUGUUGGCUAGCCAAUCUGGAGUGUCGACUUCUCUGAUGAAUCCGACCUGUUUGAGUCUAUUGAUUUCUUCAUUGACUGCUUCGUGAAACUUGGGAGCGAGCCUUCUUGGUUUUUGCUUGACAGGUCGAUAAUUCGGAUUGACGUGCAGUUUAUGACAUGCAAUUGAUGGAUCUAUUCCAGGCAUAUCGAUAUACGACCAAGCAAAAACAUCUUUAUUAGUUGAAAGAAAAUUUACAAAGUUAUGGAACUUAUCUCCUUCUAACUCUGCACCUACAUAGACAUAUCUCGGCUCAUCUUCUGACCCAAGGUUCACACGUACUCCUGGAUCAGUGCUUCCAAGAUUAAGUUUGGUUGAGCUCGUUGGCUCCUUCUGUAGUUGCUAUUUGGUAGCGUCGGUCUUCUCUUUUGGAGGGCUCUUGGACUUGUUGUCGCCCUCUUGAGCCUCUGAUGAGAUGGGGCUCUUCCCUUUGAUGUCGGAAUCCUUGGUUCCAGAGGUGGAUGGCUUUCCAGGCGGCACAACUUCAAUAAUUCCAUGGCACUCCUGUGCAGCGUUCUGGUUGCCUCGAAGUUCCAUUAUCCCAUGAGGUCCGGGAUAGCGGAAAACUUGAUGAUAUGUUGAUGGCACACCUCUCAUGGCAUGGAUCCACUUUCGACCCAGAAUCGCAUUGUACUUGCUUACGAUGUUAAGGAUGCUGAAUUUGGCGGUCACAACGACCUUGUCUUCCUUUCUGCCCACGGUGAGGGGCAACAGAAUUUCACCCUUGGGAUCUUCCCUUGAGCUGUUGAAGCCUAGAAUGGGUGUAUAAUCGGGGAUGAGAACUGAAUCGGGCAAUCUCAUGUCCUUGAAGGUUCUGUACAUGAGGAUGUUGCAUGAUGCGCCAGGGUCAAUGAGUACCCUCUUGAUAAUGUAGUCGGCUAUCCUUAGCUCGACAACCAGGGCAUCAUUGUGAGGAGUAACGACCUUGUUGAGAUCGUCUUCAGUAAAAGUGAUGUCUGUUUCCUGGCGUGCAGGGAUGUUGGAGAGCGCUGCUUUACCAGUAAUCGAGUAGACAUGAUGAAGAUGUUCUACUCGUAUCUUCUUAUCUCUUGACAGGGGGGUGGAGUUGGAUUCAUAGAUCAUGUAUACGACAUGACUUUCCGACUCACUGUCGCUGUCAAUCUUGUUUGCGACCUUCUUGUUGAUCUGGUCGCGUAGGUCACCUGUUAGACCUAGAUGUUGGGAGAGGCUACGCCCUCUGCUGCGGACUGGACUUGCGGAGGCCGUUCUGGCCUUGCUGUGAUUCCUCUUUGGUGAACGAGGAGGGGUUCUGGAUCCCUUCCUCAUCCGCUUGCUUGUGGAAUCCCCUUGUCUGCUGAGGAUCCAAUUGUUGAGCCUUUUCUCAUCGGCCCAUGUUUAAAGAGCGCGUUUCAGAACGUGACAGUCAUCUGUUUGAUGACACCGUACUUUGUGGACUUUGCAGUACGGUCGUCCAGAUGUAUCCUACAACUGUGUGGAGGUAGGAAUCUUGCACCAAUGGUUGUGCUUGAUUCGCUCGUAGAUGUAACCGGCUGGUCUUGUGAACCGGUGAUACUCUCGCUGCUCAGUAGGCAACGACUUUGCUUUGAACCUCUUGCUAUCAGAUUGAGGUCGCUUGGUGGAGCCAAACUCUACAUUGCUGACUACAUGAUUCUUUUCCCUUCCAGUGAGGGCUUCUUCGAGCUUGAUGUAACGGUCUACCUUUAGGUAGAGGUCGUCUAGGGAUGAAGGUCGCUUCAUGGAGGUCGGACCCUUGGAUCAGACCGUGAGAGAAUGCGAUGGUUGCGAAGGUCUCAUGUUCCUUUGCAAAAACCUGAAUUGAAUGCAGUUCAGAUUUAAAACGAGCAAAGAAAGUGCUUAGUGACUCACCAUCCCGCUGCUUGACUUUGAAGAUUUGAUCGAUGGUGACGGGUCGCUUCUUGUUAUGGAUAUAGAAGAUGACAAACUGCUUUUCGAGCUCGGCAAACGAGCUGAUAGAUCCUGAUUUUAAAUGGUGAAACCAGUCGAGAGCAGGUCCGGUGAGGCUGGACUAGAAUAGUAAACACAGAAGGUGAUCUUCCUUGAUGAGAGGAAGGGAUUUUCGGAAUCCCUUGAUGUGGUCGGUUGGAUCUCCGACUCCUGCAUAUUGAUCGAACUUGGGGGCAUUGAGUUUGUUUGGCAAAUAAUGUUCUAGGAUCUCCUUGGAGAAAGGAGACUCCUGGAACUGCUGGAGGGACUGGACAGCAAGUUGCUCCGCGGUGUGGCUUUUGGUAUGAUGGAGGAUAGCCUGAGAGGCUUUGAACUCUGCUAACUGUUGGCUGAGUUGCUCGUACUUCUGGUGGGAGUCAUCAACAGGAAUGACUCCAUGACCACCGUUUGCUACUGGUGCUGGGUUGGUAUCUUGUGCAGCCCUCAAGCGUGCAUUCUCUUCCUGCAGACGAGUGAUUUGUUCAUGCAGAUCCUGGAUGGUUAACUCUGUGGUAGUCAUUUGAGUGAGUGAUUUUGAUUUGGGUGGGAGGGUUUGGGUUUUUCGAUUAUAUCGAAUUCCUUGCAGUCGGCGCCAAAUGUAUUAACCUAUUUCUAGAUUAAUGCACUACUAGAUCAGGUCGUUGGGAGACUUGACCAAAGGGGAAGUUUUAGAUCGGGGUGGCUGCACCUCGUUGAGAUUGAGAUUGCCUACGUACUCUUAGCUCGAGGGGAUUGAACUUAGAGAUCAAGCCAUCGUAGUUCUGUUCUUAUAGAAGGUAGAAAGGCGUGGAUCGUGGAUCUUGCAGAUUCUCCGUCAUCAUAAUGAGAAUUAAUUGUGUAACGCGCGAGGAUCAUCCCUGUGAAUUAAUUAUGUAACUGACGAGGAUAUUCUGUGCAUUGAAUGAGAGCACGUGUGUAUUAGCAGGCCGCUGCUUGUCAUGAGAUCGAGUUGUUGUGGUCGAGCUACUAGCAGGUAGAGAUCGUGGCGACCUGAUGGAUGAAUGACUGUGCCACGUGGCUGCUUUUGAUUGGUUGGAGUAUGUAGUACCCCUACAUAACAUAUUAUUUCGAUCUUAAAUAGUAUAUACAUGUUUCAUCCCUUUUGAAUGUGGGCGGUGAUCUGAUGUUGUGUGGUACACUGGUACUGAUUAGUUAUUUGAGCACAACAACAUUUCCAUUAAAUCAAACAACUCCUAUAAUGCUCUGGAGCAAAGCCUUAAUGCAUGUUCUCCCAAAAUCCCCAAAAUAGCAUGUAUACUGUUCGUUUGCAGUCACCCCAGGCCAGUUACAUCACUGCUUUCUGCUUAGUUGGGUUCUCACUCCAAAGAAAAUUGUUUAACAAUCUCUCCUCCUCCUUGAUCAUACUCUGUGGGUAUUUGUAUUGCCAUGCAUGUUGUGCAGUGGUUAAAUACAUAACACAGAUAGAAUAAGAACACACCUCUCUUUGAAAGAGAGUAACUUGCUUUUCCCACGUAGCAGCAUCAUGUGAAUACGAUCACUCAAUUAUGAGUUCAUGAACACGCGCGUACUUCAUCAAAAUAAUGGAUGUGUCCAAAAUAUAAAAUAGGCUAACUGAAAGAAGCAAAAUAAAUGAACUGGAAUUAUUGAAAAAGAAAAAAUAGGAAGGUUAGUGACAAUAGAUUAGGAAUUUUUAUAUGACUAAGCUUAAGUGAUUCAUGCAUACUUGUUGGAGUGUUGAAGCUACUAAACAUAAGCAAUUGUAUGCAUAUGGUACAUGUUUCCAGUGUACCAUUUGUCCGAAUAAGCAAAGCAGCCAGCACACCUAUUAUAAAACAUGCCAUGUUGCACCAAGAAAAGCAUGUCAUACUGCACCAGGAAGUCAGUACUGUACUGAUUUGGUUAUUAAGCUUGCCAGAACUGGCAGGCAGCCUAGCAAAGCCCAACCACCAUUUUGUCACACUUCGCAGCAGUAUUUUUUUCUCCUCAUAUUUAGGUGGUGACAUGGCUGCUAUGUAUUUUGGUAUACCUGGUUUUAAUGCAGCUAUGGUCCUGAAUUAUUUUUGCCGUUUUUUAUUAAUUGUUGUUGUUCUCUAAUAUUUGAAACCAAGUUUUAGCAUUUAAUCCCUAGGUUAUUUAUGUUCUUAGUAAUUAAAGUGUACUGAACAGUAAAUCACAAAUAACAAUAGUAAUGAUAUCAUAUUAGUCCUAAAAUCAUAUCAACAAUCAGACAUAAUUGAGCAAAUUCAUUAAUAAUUGAAAUAAAAUAAAACUAUUUUCUCAACAUUUAUUCUUUAAUUGUACCUAUUAUAGAUCAAUCCAACUGUAACUAUUUUUUAUCUAUAUACCUAAACAGAGGGGCUCUUAUACGGUCCGUCCGUAUACGGACUUCAUGUUUUUAGAAAAUAUCACGUGAGAUUAAAUUGGUUUACGUAAAUAUAGGUUCUCACACCGGUUUUAGAAAAACCCAGUUAGGCCCAUUUGAAGUUUUCUUCUUUACAGCAAACACUCUUCCUCUUCCCUGUUCGUCUGAUGGCCUUCUCUACAUCCUUUCUUUCAUGAAAAAACCCUCGUAAGUUGGUUAUCACUCUAGCUCUCUCCGUCUUUGUCCUUCUCCUUAGAUGUGAAGCUUGUGCCGAGCCCGAGAACUUUCUUACAAUCGGUUUGGUUAGUAGUUUGUUGUACUUGAUCUCCAUCUCCAUUUUCAGUUUUUAAUUACCUUUUCAUAUUAAGAUGGAAUCCAUAAAAUUUGUAAUAUUGUUUUUUAUUUAUUUUAUGGUGAUUGAGAAUUGGUCCUCAUCCAUAUAGAUUUUGUUUUGCUGAAGUUCAUAACAGGUCCUAAUAUGUAAGUGUUUUUGAGUAUUUGUAUUAGACUAGAACAUCCAGUUAGUGACAUACGGAUCAAACAUAGCAAUAUGUUCCUCCCUCUUUAAGAAAAAAAAAAGAAGAAAUUAAUAGUUGAUGUUCUGCGACUCUUCUCCCUUAUUGCAAUCUCUAAUUCUCCCAGCCUAAAGGGUUCGAUCUUGUAAGCAUGAGCAACUCGACCGACUACAGACUUCACAUGAUUCCUCAAUUUUAUUUUAGUUUCCCAUUAUCAUUGUUAUGUAGAAUUUAGGUUUGCCAUCGAUUUUGUUUGUUUUUCGGUCUUUAGAGCAAUGAUUGAUGAUAUGUAUUAGAGUUUUGGAAAAAAAAUUGGGAAAUUUUUCUGUGUUACAGAAGAUGUACAGUAGAUAUUUGAUAAAAUGCUCAAGUCAGUUGAAGUGCAUACCAUCGUUGUCAAUGGAUGGUUGUGGUCACCCAUGAAACUAUUAAUUUCUUCUUUGUUUUUCUUAAAGAGGGAGGAACAUAUUGCUAUGUUUGAUCCAUAUGUUACUAACUGGAUGUUCUAGUCUAAUACAAAUACUCAAAAACACUUACAUAUUAGGACCUGUUAUGAAUUUCAGCAAAACAAAAUCUAUAUGGAUGAGGACCAAUUCUCAAUCACCAUAAAAUAAAUAAAAAACAAUAUUACAAAUUUUAUGGAUUCCAUCUUAAUAUGAAAAGGUAAUUAAAAACUGAAAAUGGAGAUGGAGAUCAAGUACAACAAACUACUAACCAAACCGAUUGUAAGAAAGUUCUCGGGCUCGGCACAAGCUUCACAUCUAAGGAGAAGGACAAAGACGGAGAGAGCUAGAGUGAUAACCAACUUACGAGGGUUUUUUCAUGAAAGAAAGGAUGUAGAGAAGGCCAUCAGACGAACAGGGAAGAGGAAGAGUGUUUGCUGUAAAGAAGAAAACUUCAAAUGGGCUUAACUGGGUUUUUCUAAAACUGGUGUGAGAACCUAUAUUUACGUAAACCAAUUUAAUCUCACGUGAUAUUUUCUAAAAACAUGAAGUCCGUAUACGGACGGACCGUAUAAGAGCCCCUCUGUAUACCUAAAAACCUACUGUUGAGAAACCUUAUAUUGUUUCUAUAUUUAUUACUCCUCAUCUUCUUCACCUUUGUUAGAUUCCUCUUUUGUCUUUUGUUUUUUCUUCAUUGGCUCAUCAAUGGAAUCCUCAACAUCUAGCUUCUCCUUUUUUUUUCGUGCAUAAUACAUUAAACUUGAUUAAUAUUUUCUAAUAUUAAAUUUUAUUUUUAAAUGAUUUUUUUUUUUUUACCUUUUCAAUGAACAUCAUCCUAUAUUUUGCUUCUUUCAUUUCAGGGAGAUGACCUAUCUUUUUAGCAGUGAAUGAUGAAGUAUCUUUUGUUUCCUUGUUGUACUUGGUUAUCUUUACGAGAAAUGAUGUGGUUUUCCUUCUAAAUUUUUGAAAAUCUUUGCAACUUGGGCUUCUCCAUUUUCAUGUUUGACAUAUAGACAUAUAGACAUAUAUAUAUAUAUAUAUAUAUAUAUAUAUAUAUAGAGAGAGAGAGAGAGAGAGAGAGAGAGAGAGAGAGAGAGAGAGAGAGAGAGAGAGAGAGAGAGAGAGAGAGAGAGAGUGUAUAAAUUUUUGUUUACCUUUAAGCUAAUUGCGACCAUUUCAUCUGCUGUUUUUUAAGUAAGGUUUUGAAUUUGAUAACCAAAUCCAGGGACUUUUAUUGUGCGUGUUGCAUCUUUGAUCUCUAUGGUUAGCCUGUACCUGUAUCCAUAUAAGAUUUGAAGUUAGUUUUUGUUCCAUUUUAUCGUAGGAUAUAUUCAUAAGUUUAUUGUAUUACAUUUAUAUGCAUCGACUUCCUUGUUGCAUUCUUCACAAUAGUAUGUCCCAUCAGUCUUAUUUACUCGUUUGUUACAUUUUUGGCAUGCUUUGUAAUGCCACUCAUAGAAGUGUAGUAUUUUUGAUAUUGUUGCUUCACAGGUAUACUCAUCUUCCUGCAUUAUUUUAAAUAAAAUAAUGUAAAUUGUACAAUUAAGAUAGUAUAGUUAUUGAACAACUAAUAGAAAAACUAACUUCUUAUGUCGCAUUGUGUAUUGCAUCACUAAUCGGAGCUAAUGUCCGUACAUUGUUAGUAAUUCCAGGUAUUUCUUCCGUCCUUUUUUUUUUUUAAUUGCAGUAAAUUGUAAAAAGCAUUCUGUUGAUCUGGUUUUUUGUUUUUUAUGGAGUUAUAUUUUUAUUGGUAGGAAUAAUUUUACCUUUGUGUGAAGGAUAUAACUUGAGGCAUAGGCAGGUUGACAUGAAUUUUUUGUUGCCGAAAUUGAUUGGAGAUAGAUACCUGUCAAUACUUUUUUUUUUUAUGAAUGUAAAAGUUUUAAAAAAAAAAACUAUUUGUUAAUUUAAUUAUUUUAACUAUUGGGAGUUGGUUGAGAUUCCAUGUACUCAUGGAAUUGUUGUCAUAUAUCAUUUGAAGAUGGAACCUGAUGAUUUUGUUUCUAAUUGGUACCAUGUAAGUACUUGUAAAAAAACCUAUGAGAUGUAUAUUCAUGGACUUAAUGGACCAGCUAUGUGGCCAAGGACAUACUGUGAUCACAUUCACCCACCAUUGAAAAAAAAAAAAAAAAACCUGGUAGGCCAAAGAGAGCUAGGAGGAAGGAGAUGCAUGAGGAUCAAGGUGGAACUAAGAAGGUGUUGCCAAGAACAGGGAAGCACAUGACAUGUACAAAUUAUGGAAUAACUGGUCAUAAUAAGAGAGGUUGUAGAAAUGUUGGUGUAAGUACUCUAUCUGUACUAUAUAUAUAUAUAUAUAUAUAUAUAUAUAUAUAUAUAUAUAUAUAUAUAUAUAUAUAUAUAUAUAUAUAUAUAUAUAUAUGAUACGAUAAGAACAUUUAUGUAUACUAACAUUUAUGUGUUUUGAUGUAAUAUUAUCGGCGGAAGCAAACAAUAAUAAGAACACCAAUUAAAUAAAUGGUUUGAACACCCAAAAACUAGGGUUCUUCACAAAAACGAAUUUAAUGUCUCAAGACAUAAACAAAUCUUCAAUCUAACCUACUCAAUAGGGUUUACAAUCCCCUAUUUAUAAUAGCCUAAACCUAAUCCUAACUAAACUAGAAAGCUAAGUAAAUAGAAACUACUACUAGGGAUGUUCUAAUCCAUAUAGGAAUCUGCAGGAACUAUGAGGCAUGUGCCUUGCACAUGGUAUCUUUAUGCAUAUGCAUCAAAUCCCCCCAACUUGAAAAAAACUCGUUCUCGAGUUUGUGUACUAACAUCCUCCAAAGUUCAAAACGACUCUUGUACAUCAACCUCAACCUUACGUUGGUGCAGAAAAUCCGGCCAUGAAUCUUCCCCAGAUAGUUGCUCGCAGAAAGAAUGAUGGGCAUUAAUGUCAUAGGUGCAUCAUUAGGACAACCCAAUUGAUUGGAACAAUAUAGCCGCAUGUCAAGAAAUAAGAAUUGAAGGUGUUUGUCCCUCCAUGGAGAAAAUCCAUUCUCAUCUUGGAAUAGAUAAGGAUCAACAUAACCACCAAACAAAUUACCAAUUACUUUUAUGGGACGGAAUUUGUAAGGAUGAUAAAAAUCAUCAAUUUGUCGGUCGGAAUCAAUGGAAUUCAUCGAUUCAUGGGAGUGAUGAGCGAAAUUCCGAGAACGUUCAUCCUCUUUACCAUUGUCAUGGACAACAACCAGGUUUCCUUGCUUGGGCAACAAAUAGAACUUCUUAUUUAUCUCCCUUGCAGAUUUUUCAAUCAAAUCUUCUACUUGAUCCACACAUGCAACUUCUAACUCAAGAGACACAAAACUAGAUGUAUCAUCACUAUCAUCACCAAAAACGGAAAAGAAAUCAACAAGAUUGUAACUUUGUAAACCACCAAUUCGAGUACGAGUGACGAAUUUUUCUUCUUCAAACAUGUUGAGUAAGAAAUUAAUCUCCGCUUCUUUGUCAAGUCGUUUCUCUUCUUCAACAAAUUCUUCCUUAAAACUCGCAAAUUGACUUUUUAAUUUAGUAAAGCAAUUUAAAAGUUCCUUCAAACCUUUUUGUAUGCUUGGUGACGUCAUGGAGGUAUCGCUCUUAGAAUCGAUUUCAGAUUCAAUAUAGUGUGGGUAUUCUCCAUACGGAGUAACCUUAGAAUUGCGAUUACGAAGACCAUCGUGAUCAUAAGUCUUUGGACGGUUUCCAUGGGAAUAUUUAGCACCAUAAGCAACAUAUUGUUGCUGAAAACCACAUCGAGGAGGGUGCGUGUCCUGCUGGUGGUGGGAAUAAUAUCCAUUGUCAUAAUAACUAUGAUGUUGCCUGCGUGGGGGAGAAGGGGAACGAGAGGAAGAGGGAGGUUCAUACCUUCUAGAAAGAGGAAAGCGGCGACUAGGAUCAAAGUUGGGAGCUUUAUAUUCAGAAUCGGUAUAACGCUUCGAUUCAUGUAAACUCCAGCGAUCCGGCGGCGACGAAAAUUCUCUUUGACCUCUUCUACGAUAACCCAUCUUCAAAUCACCAACAUGAACGCGGCUCUUGUAAUAAAAAUCAGGUUUUUAUCUUCUAAACCCAGAAAAAACAAGCUCUUGAUACCAAUUUUGAUGUAAUAUUAUCGGCGGAAGCAAACAAUAAUAAGAACACCAAUUAAAUAAAUGGUUUGAACACCCAAAAACUAGGGUUCUUCACAAAAACGAAUUUAAUGUCUCAAGACAUAAACAAAUCUUCAAUCUAACCUACUCAAUAGGGUUUACAAUCCCCUAUUUAUAAUAGCCUAAACCUAAUCCUAACUAAACUAGAAAGCUAAGUAAAUAGAAACUACUACUAGGGAUGUUCUAAUCCAUAUAGGAAUCUGCAGGAACUAUGAGGUAUGUGCCUUGCACAUGGUAUCUUUAUGCAUAUGCAUCAUGUUUUAUGUCAUAGCUUCCACCUAGUGCAUAAACUAAUACCAAGAAAAAGAAGAAGACAACUGCAUCAACAAGUGCUCCACAGAAAGAUGGUGCAUCAACAAGUGGUACAAAGUCCAAAAAAACUGUAAGUAUAUAAAAUGUUUCUUUGAUACUUGAUAGUGUUUUUUUUUUUAUGUUGUUGUAAAUGUUAGUUGCUCUGUACAUAAUUCCAGCAGGGGAAUGCCAAAACAAAAACAAAAACAAAGGACAAUGUUUCUGAAAUGUAAAUAAAUGGUAUUCAUCUAAAUGAAAUUAAUGUUGAAAAUGUAAAUGAGAGUCCUGUAUUUGGUGAUGUUGGACCAAGUGAGAGACCUGCAAAGUUACCAACUAGGAGGAAGGGAAAGGCCAACACAAAGGAUAAUGUUUCUAAAAUGCAGAUAAAUGGUAUUUGAAAAAAUUAUAUUAAUGUUGAAAAUGUAAAUAAGAGUCCUGUAUUUGGUGAUGCUGGACCAAGUGAGUGACCUCCAAAGUUACCAACUAGGAGGAAGGGAAUGGCCAAGAACAAAGAUAAAGAAGAAAAUGAGGUUCUAGUUCAAUUGCCUGCAACAAAACCAGUUAGAAAGGGAAGAAAAAACAAAAAUAAUGAACAUGAGCACUUUGAAGUUGAGCAUGAAGUAGCAGUACUAUUUAAACAUGCAAAGAAAGGAAAUGUUAGGAUGAAGGGUAUAAACAAAACAUCUGCUGGUAUGAGAGUCCUUAAUCUUCCUAAUGGAGAGGUUUUUGUAAAGGUAAAUAUCAACUGAUUGUGUAUUAUUUGUAUUUGUGUAUUACAAUUAAUUGUGUAUAAUUUGUAUAUUUGUUGUCUGACAGCUUGGAACAAAAAGAGGCAAGUAUAUUCCACCAGAUUAUGUGAGUGACCAUGGACCCUCACAAACUUUAGCAUCAAUUCCAGGUUCAAAUCCACAAACUAUUCCAAGUACACCACCACCUCUUCCAGUAAGGAGAACACCUAGGAAGCCAGCUCAGUCUCAAGUUGUGUCUCCUAGAACUAGGUUUUCUUUGAGGAGGAUGGUUGUUGAUGCUUUGGUUGAUCUUCAUAAUCCACCACCUAGGAGGAGCCCAAGGAAAGGAAAAGAGGUUGCAGCAUCUACUCAAAAAACAAAGGCUACCAAAACUUUGGGUCUAAAGAGAAAAAAUGCUACUGCAUUCAACAAAGGAGGGAUUGUUAUAGAUUGAUCAUGGAUGCACUGCAGACUAUUUUUUGCUUGUGUAUUUUGGUCCUUGAUAUAUAUUGUGUAUUUUGUUAUAGAUUGAUCAUGGAUGGACAAGUUAUUUUGGGAGUCUAUUUAUGUAGUUUUGGGAGCUGAAACAUUUGUUUGUCCUUUUGGUAGUGUAAUGGACAAAGUAUCUUCAACUUAAUGGAAAUCUUUUGUGUUAUGUUUUAACUGUUCAUUCCUUUGGUAUUGUUUGCUUUAAAUUGUACAAUUUUGUACAUUGUUUUUCAAGUUCAGAACUGCUACAAAAAGCACACUGAAUUCAUCACUUUAUUCAUUUUAUAAAUGUUCAGAUACACUUCAUUCAAAGAUACAUAAUAAAAUAAAACCAAGAGCAACAAUUACAGCCAACACUAACAUCCAUUUAUUUGAUCAUGUUGCAAUCUUCAAUUUUUUUUUCAAGAGCAAGUUUUGAUUUCUCUAGUUUUGUAUUUUUAUUUUCCAAAAUGCGAUUUUUGUUUUUCAGCUCUUAAAUUCGAUUCAUGAAGUAUUCUUCCCUCUUCAUCGUUUCCAAUUGAGUUUUUGGUACAAGAUUAUCAACCCGCACAAAGUAAUACAUUCUCCCCUCACACAGUUGAUGAAUUUUCGAUUUUUGUUGGCUUCUGUACCCGAAACUCUAAUUGGAGCAUCAAUUACACAUUUUCAGGUGGCGUAUGGGUUAGUAUAAGACUUGGUGGAGCUUGAAGACAUGGUUUUCAUGAAAUUUGGGGAAGAAAAGGUAAGAAGAAGGUUAAAUUAGAUUUCUAGGGUUUUACUGGUAUAAAUAGACGAAGGAAGAAGAUGAUGCUUAAAUAAACUAGCCGUUGGAAAUUCUGUUGUGCAACGAAAGCUUUAACCUAAGGAUUGGUUGUAAUACCGAUAAUCUAGAUGAUAGCAAAUAACAGAGAAAGUAAUCGAAAAAAUACAAUCACACACAAUAACACCAAUAUUAACGUGGUUCGGCAAACCCACUUACUCCACCCGGCAACCGAUCAAGAAGAUUUCACUAAUAAGAGAAAAGAAACAACCUAAUUACAAAUCUAUAAUUCCUUGUCUCUUUCUCUCUCACACUAGAACCUGAGAAACCCUAUUAUGAAAACCCUCAUAAAUUUGUCUCUCCCUAUCUACUAAUGCUUUCACCUUUGGUUCACUCUCUCUUCUUACCACCCCUUUACAAUUGCCAACUAGUUGAGUAUAUAUAAUACCCAAGAGUUCCUAAUCCAUACAAGGAUCCAAAUUGGAUAACAAAACCAAUUACCAAUUAGAAUACCAAGUACUUAUGGGAGUAGAAUUCCUACACACAUUGUUUCUAGAAACAAACAUAAGAUAUGAUCAUAUAGACCUCACUUAAUAUAAGCUAUGAUCUUGCGCAUUACGAGCCAAUACACAACAAUCUCCACCUUGGCGAGCCAAUUAACUUGAUUAUUGUUGACUCCACCCUCGCCCGUGAAACCUUCUUGAUCCAUGUUGCCGCCUCCACUCUUUUGGGUGCCCAAUCAAUUAUGAUUGACCGACAAGUUUGAGAUACCCUCAAACUUGCCCACAGGAAUCCACUUGCUGACCAUCUUUCUCUUUCUUGAGUUCUUUCCUUCUGCAGCCACCUUGUUUAUAACAAAACCAUGUGAUUUAAACAUCACCUUGCCUGUAUUAGGACCAACUCUAGAUCUUACUAUUGUUUGACCCAAUAGUAUAUACAAACCACUACUACUCGUGACUCCUUUCAUGAUCACAUUGGAAUAUCUGCAAACCUCUACAACUCCACCUUUGCCAGUGAACUUGUAACCCAAAUAAUCUAACUUGAAAAGAGAAAUUAGUUCUCUUUGCAAACUCGACACAUGUCAAACACCUUCAAGAGUAUGUAUCCUCUUGUCAUACAUCUUGAUGUGAAUAUUACUGACUCGCACUAUCGACUUCUUGGAGCCAACACACAUCGACAUCCAGCCACCAUCACAUCUUUUAUACUUGUCGAACCAUGACCUAUGUGAACAAACAUGUUUUGUGGCACCGCUAUCAAGUACCCAUUCCCGAUGUAAAUUUUUUUCUUGAGUAGUCACCAAGAGUAAUUCAUCAUCAAACUCCACUUGAUUAGCCUGUCCGCCAGAAUUAGCAAUAUGCUUGCCUUUCCCUGAUCUGGAGCUAUUUGCCGAAACCGCUCCACCUUUUUCCUCACAAUCCCGUUUAAAAUGCCCUGUUUUUCCCCACUUCCAACAUUCUAUGUGAGCCUUGUUACUCUUGUUAAAUCAUUUUCGUGAGCCCUCAUUAAUCACCAAACCCUCACCAUGAGAUUCAUCGUCUCUGCCUUUAUUUCUAAUUUCACGAGAUAAAAGAACACUGACAACCUUAUCCAAUUCCAGAGUUUCCUUUCCAUAGAGCAACGUGGUGAUAAUAUGCUCAUAAGAUUGGGGCAUGGAGUUCAGAAGUAGAUGUGUUUUAUCUUCAUCCUCUAACUUCACUCCAACAUGAACCAAUUCAGAAAGCAUGCUAUUGAAGACACUGAGAUGUUCAUUAAUACUUGUACCUUCUGCCAUCCUCAACCUGUAAAGUUGCUGCUUGCGGUACAAUCGAUUUGAUAACGACUUACUCAUAUACAAACUUUCAAGCUUUAUAACAAAAGUUUUACCGAAGAACUUUCUGUGAGAACGUUUGACAAGACCUCCUUCGUUAAACACAAUCGAAUCGCACUAGUAGCCUUCAAAUUAAAUUUUUCCCAAACAUCAUCUGCCAUAUCCGUCGGUUUUCCCUUUAAUGCUUUGUGUAGCCCGGAUUGUACCAAGAGAUCUUGGACUUGUACUUUCCACAAACCAAAAUUCAUCUUUCCAUCGAACUUCUCUACAUCAAACUUCAAAACUGAACUUGAAAACCUUUGCGCCAUCUCGAAAAUCCCUACAACCUAGAACCUUGCUUUGAUACCACUUGUUGUGCAACGGAAGCUUUAACCCAAGGAUUGGUUGUAAUACCGAUAAUCUAGAUGAUAGCAAAUAACAGAGAAAGUAAUCGAAAAAACACAAUAACACACAAUAACACCAAUAUUAACGUGGUUCGGCAAACCCGCCUACUCCACCUGGCAACCGAUCAAGAAGAUUUCACUAAUAAGAUAAAAGAAACAACCUAAUUACAAAUCUAUAAUUCCUUGUCUCUUUCUCUCUCACACUAGAACCUGAGAAACCCUAUUAUGAAAACCCUAAUAAAUUUGUCUCUCCCUAUCUAGUAAUGCUUUCACCUUUGGUUCACUCUCUCUUCUUACCACCCGUUUACAAUAGCCAACUAGUUGAGUAUUACCCAAGAGUUCUUAAUCCAUACAAGGAUCCAAAUUGGAUAACAAAACCAAUUACCAAUUAGAAUACCAAGUACUUAUGGGAGUAGAAUUCCUACACACAUGGUUUCUAGAAACAAACAUAAGAUAUGAUCCUAUAGACCUCACUUAAUAUAAGCUAUGAUCCUGCGCAUUGCGAGCCGAUACACAACCGUUUCUCACGUGCAAAGCACGCAUCAACUUAACCAUUAUUGUUUUUUUUUUUUCUAUUUUUAUUAUUUACUUAGGUGUCAUUGUUUGACAAACCACAUCAUACAUAUUUUUCCGCGUCACAUAGUUCAAUGGAGAAAACUACCAGAGACUUUUUCAAUGUUAGUCAAGAAAGUUGACUCAAAGUUCAUUGUCAAGUUUGUACUUCGUUGUCAGUUUUGCAAUCAACUUCAAACUUCGUUGUCAAAGUGAGUAUUUUGGUCGUGUAGUGGUAGUUAAGUUUAAUGACAUUAAAAAUCACAAAUCGACUAUUUUUGGAUAAGAUAAAUUUACUAAUCAACUUACAAAUUAUUAUUUUUUUUACUAAUAAAACACUUACAAAUUACUACAUUAAUCGGAUUCAGUUUCAAUUGAUUAAGGUUUUGUUGCUUAAUGUAUUAAUCAACUUAACAAAAUCAUGAUUUUACUUACCAAGUACUAGGUGUUGAGUUGAUUAAUACAUUAAUCGAUUAGAAUUUUUUUUUCUUGAUUAAUGUACCAAUCAACUUAACAGAAAGGAUACAAAUUUUUUAGUGCUUAAUGACAUUAAUCAACUCCAACAAUAGUUGAUUAACUUACAUAUCAAUUACUACAUCAAUCAAACAAUGAAAAUUAAGAAAGAAAAUGUAAAGUAGAUGAAAUUUAAGAAAGAAAUUUACAUAAAAAUCAUAAAUAUAGAAUUGUAAAACCUAACUUACCUCGAAAUCAGAAACGUCUUCUUCAACUUGAGGAAUUUCUUCCUCUAUUAUAUCUUGCAAAUCUUGUUUCCCAAGUUUCUUCGUCCUCCUUGUUAUAGAAUGACCUUCCGUUCUUGGUCGUUGUUUAUCUAUUGCCAUUGUAGAUCUAGGUCUUUUAGUGGGUUUUUUCGAGAGGGAUUGUUUGAGAGUUUUUAGAAACUUGAUUGGAAAGUGAACUGGAGAAAAAUUUGAAGCAAAAAUUGAAGAAAAUCUAAAGAAUUUUGAGUGAAAUCAGCUAUUUUCAAAGAGUGCAGGAGAGGGAGGGAGAGAAAGAGGGGGAGAGAGAGAUUAGUUAGGGUUUUGUUCAAAAAUCUCAGAAACCGAAACGUCCUAAAAAUUAUUACACCGGUUAAAUUAACCGUAAAUUUUAAUCGAAUUAUUACAGUUGUUAAAUUCCCACGAGGGUACAUGCAUCAAAUCACAUUCGUUGUCCGUGAGGUGAAUGAAGCAUUUCUGUUGUCCCGGAGAUGAAUGAAAUGUUAUAUUUGUUCCUUGGGCACAAAUUGCUGCAAAAACAAACAAGGGUCAUUUUGUCCGAAUACCUUUUUUUGUAACGUAUUUUUUGGCAAUACACCCCAUUAGUUGGGAAAUUGUUUUUUUUCACUCAAAUAAUAGCUUGACUUUGUGAAUUAAGCAGUCCACUUUUGUUGACCAAGUCAAACCUAGAAAGUUACUUUUCCUUUCAAAUUCUAAAAUACCCAACUUACCCUGAAUUAAUCAAAACCGUCGAUUGAUGUAUUUUUAUCAGAUCAAAAUCUUGGUCGUUUAUAUUUAUAACCGUUGGGAUCAUCUUUCUUUCUUUUUAUAAAACCUUAAUUAGUUCCACUCCAACUCAACUGUAUUUAUAGCCGUUGGGGUCGUCUUUUAUCGUUAUUUGUGGGACAAGCGGAAGGUGGCCGUGAUAAUGCCUCGACGCCGGUGGGAAGGAAGGAUUCUUCAUGACAAGAACCACAACUAUGUCUUCAGUAGUACUUUGUGGUGCGAGAUAUCAAAUACGUUGGAGAUGCAGGUCGGUGAUCGCGUGUUGCUGGAGCACGUAGAUGUUUGCCCUAUACGGGUUAUGUUUGCAGUUGGCUCGAAUGGAUGGCACACAGAUCCAAAUCUUGCUAACCUGGUUCCACCCCUUCCACCGUCUCCUGGACCAUCUAUGCACGCACCCUCUCCAAUGUCUCCACGACCUUGUGCGCAUGAGACUGACGAUGACCCUAUCUAUGUUCGGACCGCUAAUGACGAGGAGCUCGUGAAUGACAACAUGGAGGAUGACAGUGAUGACGAGUAAAAGAAUUAGAUGAGGUUGUAGGUGAACAUUGUUAAACCAGGACUUGCUAGGAUUUCAACUUUGUGUAAUCGAAACACUUGACAUAAUUUGCGUUCUAAAAUUUGUGUAUUAUAUACAUUGAGAAUAUAUUUUGAUGUGGAUUGUUUGACGAAAAUAUGUUUAUUUUCAUCAAAUAGUCUUUUCAAAGAAAAAAAAAAUAGUCUUUUAAAAAGGUUAAAAUUAGUAUAUUGGUGAUGGGCUUUUAAUUUAUCUAAAAAAAGGGUUAAAACAGGCCCAACUGAUCCAAGUUAAUUGGAAAAGCCCUAUGUUUAUUAAAGCCCAAUACUUUUGCCCGAAAGUUUAGUGUGCAAAUGAAAAAUCGCAGAAAAACGGCCAAUGUUUAUCAGCGCUACUUCUAGCCUUACAUGCAAUCUGACUCGGAGAUCUUUGUGCAACAUUGUGACAAAUGUUAACGCUUCUCACCCUUAAAAAACCAACCCCCGAGAGAUCUCAAGACGAUAUCUAGCCCAUGGCCAUUUGUCAUGUGGGGGCUCGAUAUAGUGGGGCCUCUUUCGAAGGAUAAGAACAAAAGGCGAUAUCUCUUGGUUGCCACCGAUUACUUUACUAAGUGGGUAGAGGCAAUUCCACUUCGGAAAAUUAGACAACAAGAAGUCAAGAAUUUCAUCUGGAAAUACAUAAUCACCCGAUUUGGCCUACCACACACAUUGGUCACUGAUAAUAGCCAACAAUUUUGUGGGAGCACGAUUAAGGAGUUUUAUUCGGAUUGGCGAAUCAAUCAUGCAUUAUCUACACCACGAUACGCACAAAGUAAUGGCCAAGCUGAAGCCACUAACAAGACAAUAAUGAAUACACUCAAGAAAAAGUUAGAAGCGGAAAAAGAUAAGUGGAUACAGGAGCUAGAUAGAGUCCUAUGGGCCUAUAGAACGACUCCACGCACCUCGACAGGCGUUUCACCAUUCGUACUAUGCUAUGGUACUGAAGCUGUUAUACCCACCGAGUUGACCUACUUAACAACAAGGUCGGAAUUGGUAGAAUCAGCUGAAAACGAGAAUCUCUUAGCGCAUGAGGUAAACAUGUUGGAAGAAAGGCGAGAUAAGGCUAUCAUACAAACAGCUUGUUACCAACAAAUAUUAAGGAGGAGCUAUAAUCAAAAAGUAAGGCCAAGGACUUUCCGACUAGGAGACUUGGUCUUAAGACAAACUUUUCAGAACACCAAGAUUGCGGGUGAUGGAAAAUUCAAUCCCAACUAGGAAGGGCCCUACAUUAUUCAAUCCGACUUGGGUAAUUGAGCGUACAUAUUAAUUGAUCAUGAAGGAAACCAAGUCGAUAGACCAUGGAAUGGAAAAUAUCUUAAGGCGUACAUUCCAUAGAAUAAACACUUGAACGGAAAAACAACAACAAGUUUUAAAGCAAAUUAGGCAAGAAUUAGAAGGAAAAAGACAGAAAACGGAGAAGAGAAGAGAAUUACCUUCAAGACAAUGAGCGGCAGCCUUAAAAACCAAUGCGUAAACCCUUGGUUUUUCCAGCAGUUACAAGCAAAUUGUUAUAUAAAAACCCGUGCAGAAUCUCAGCCACACAUCGCCUCGAACGUGAACGGUCAGAUGUUGAUUUCUAAAUCUAACCGCCCAACCAUUCGGUUUCCCACCAAACCACAUUCGAUUUUUCAAAACACAGCCAAUACACAACUCACACGUGUACAGACAACACACAUAUCUCAAGGAGUAAUCAUGUCCCUAAGCCUCGAAAAUCUAAGCUAUCAUUCACAUCAGCACACAAUGGAAUCUUCGCCUUUUGGCACUCCAUCGAACAUAUCUUAACAACCGACUUCAUUUUCAUUUACCCUAAAGCCAAUUACCUACCUUCAACCCAAAUGAAAAGGGGCUAUGUAUAUACCAAUUACCGAGUUCUCUUACUUGGAAUACCAAACACCAACUUUACACUUAUUUCAUCCGACUUCGUAUCUAAUCACACUUUACUCAUCUCUAUUCAAAUCCUAAUCUCACUAACUCGGUAUACUGAACACCGACCUUGCACUUAUUUCAUCCGACUUCGUAUAAAACCACAUUUCACUCAUUUCUGUUCAAAUCCUAAUCUCAUAAAAUAUCCGAGCACAUCCGACUUGGGGUUAUCUCACUCUGAACACCGAGUUCAAUAUAUUCAAACUCCAAAUCUUAUGUCAGUUACGGAUCUUUCUCAUUGAAUCCCUGAAUAUCCGCAUACUUUAUGAUUUGAACGUUGAGUCAUUAAUUCGAUCCACACCCUAAGCCACCUAUAUAAGGAACUACGUUUGGCUUGAUUCUGGAUCGACCCCUUCCAGAUACGUAGGCAGCUAUCACUGCUCAAAUAGUUCAGCCACUUCAAUUCAUCCAAACUCUCACUUUCCGAUCAUCUUCUCCAACUUUCCGAUCCCAAAACAUAUAUUACAUUUACAACAACAGUGCUAAAUUAAAGUGAGAAUAUAUAGUUUAAUGAGACGUCAAAAGAAUAUCAAUGAGAUGAAAGAUCUGGUUAUAUCUGCGGUCUAGAAUCGAGAAUAAAUAGGCCUUUAUUGUUGUUUGUCUUUACAUGUUGGCAGCUUGCUGAUGUGCAGUAUCAGAAAGUAAAUUGACGAGUAGGGGCUAUAUGGCUGAUCUAUGUCUACAUAUAUUUUCCACCAACAGGAUUACAUACAAGAACAAAUAAUAUCAAGAUGAGAUUCUUCUUCUCCAUUGCAAUUUUCUUUUACUUCUUCUUGUUUCCAAUUAUCUUCACCACCAUAACUCAUGGAACCAUCUUCGAAAUCCACAACAACUGCAGAGACACAGUCUGGGCUGCAGCUAUACCAGGUGGGGGCCGACAACUUAACACAAACCAAUCAUGGAUCAUGAAUUUGAAACCCAACAUACCUCAACAAGGCCAAAUUUGGGCCCGUACCAACUGCAGUUUCAGCAAAAGUGGUCAUGGAACUUGUGACUCAGGAGAUUGCAAUGGCCAACUGCAAUGCAAAUCAAAUGGUACUUCACCCUACACUCUUGUUGGAUAUUCUCUAAAUCAGAUCAACAACGAUAGAAAUUUUGUCCAUCUUUCUCUUGUCAAUGGAUUUAAUUUAGGGAUGGAUAUAAUUCCAAUAUUAUCUGAAUCCGAUGAUUCAAGCCGAGAGAUCAGAUGUAGAGCUGAUAUCAAUACCAAUUGUCCAGACACCUUAAAGGUACCUGGUGGUUGUAAAGACCCUUGUGCAGCUUAUGAUGACUGUAGUGGACCUACUCCCGAAACAAACUUUUUCAAGCAAAGUUGCCCUGAUGCGUAUAGUUACCCUUCAGAACAAGAUCAUGCUAUAAAUUAUAGUUAUCCCAGAACUACCAACUAUAGGAUUGUAUUUUGCCCAGGAGAGGCUACUUUGAGACACAGUUAUAUUACUUACAAAGCGUUACACCCAAAUAGACCAGCCUGCAAUAGCAGCUAUAGGAGCUAUACUAUUAAUUGUUUGCCCCCCACCCCCCACCCCCCACCCCCCUAAAGCACAUCUAGCAUAAUCUUCUUUGUAGCAGGAAUGCAGGAUCACUAUAAUUUCCUUUAUGCAUAGUGUUUGCCACUAUCGAACUCAACCUUUAUUUUCCUAUAUGCAAGGAUCCCAUGUACACAGAUUCUAUUGCAAAAGAAAUUACUAUUACUAUUCUUUUGAGUUUUGAUUCCUUUUAAGUAUGCAUGUUGUGGGAAAGAUUGAAAAGGUGUAGAAGGUGUAAUAAAUUGUAGGCAAAUAAAAAACUGUAUCGACAUCUCGUUUUUUCCCAGCCCAUAUUUGCAGUGGACAUGCUGUAAUGCUAUUGCCACAACAAAUAAAAAUUUACAUACUGUUUAGCGUCAUCAAAUUAGUGGAAGUGAUUGCUGUGCGUUUGUUGUACAUAUGCAAGUCCAAGAGGUCAACAUGAAUUUAAUACCGUUGUUUCACUCGCAGUCUCAGUCAAGGUGCUUCGCUUGAUCCAUCGAUGACUACAACCUGUAUAAAUGACUCCAGCUUCCUAAUCAUAGACACAAGAUCCUCAGGUCCUGGUAAGAACCUAUCAGGCUUCAACGGAGGGAUAAACACCGGCUAUCAACACACAAGGCAGAGCUCAGGGAGUUGAAUCCAAGGAUGGGAAUCCCUCACUCAAAGGAAAGAUCCAGAGGACUUGUAUCAAGGUGGCUCUUUUAUUUGUUGAUCCAAAAUGCAUAAUAUAUCUUAAAUGAUGGUUCUUGCUGGAUGAAGAAAAUCCCCAGCUACAAAAACAUGCCUUUCACACUCUACCUCAAUCCAACUGCAUCCAGCUGGUUUCUUCAGAUCUUUAUCCUUCAUCAAUUUCCUCAAUUCCUUAACCCCAUCGCAUCUUGCAUCUGCUGCAUAUAUAUUUGACAUCACUACAUAGUUUCCAAUAUUAUUUGCUUCAACCUUGAAAAGAUGAUCUGCAACUGUUCGCCCAAGCUCCACCUCACGUUGGUUUCGACAAGCACCCAGCAGAGUCCCCCACACAUUGGCAUUAGCUUCAUAUGGCAUUGCAGUUAUAAGAGAAUAUGCAUCUUUCAAACGCCCUCCCCGUGCGAGAAGAUCCACAGUGCAGGCAUAAUGCUCCAUUGUGGGCUUCAUUCCAUGUACCCUAUCAAUGGAUUCAUAAAUGCUCAAGCCUUCAUUCACAAGACCGGCAUGACUACAGGCUGAUAAAACAGUCGUUAAGAUAACAUGAUCAGGCUUAAUCUCCAAGUCCAUCAUGUUGUCGAAAAUCCGGAGUGCCUCCUUUCCCAUACCAUGCAUUGCAUACCCACCAACCAUUGCUGUGAACAUAACAAGAUCUUUCUGGAGGCUCAUUUGAAAUUAAAGAGCUUCUGAGCACUGUCAAUGCUUCCACAUUUUGAGUACAGAUCCAAGAGAGCUCCUUGCAACCGUACAUCUUGAAAAGAAGACCUGAUAAUGUAUCCAUGGCAUUGCCUCACCAGGUGCACAGAAGCCAAACGGGCACAUACUGGAAGAACACUCAUAACACUCACCAUAUCAGGUUUCAUUCCCAACAAUUGUAGCUCGUGGAACAGAUGGACAGCAUGUUUGGGACACUCAUUCUCAGCAUAUGCUCUGACCAUAAGAUUCCAUGUUGUGAGAUCCUUUUGAGACAUCUUACUAAAAAUUAUUUCAGCAUCAUCCAAGGACCCACGACUGACAUAGCCUGAUAUCAUUGUGUUACCAGUAACCACAUUUGUCAUGCCCGACAAACUUUCAAAAGUCAUGUCCCCACAUUUAGCAUAUGCAUCAAGUAUUGCAUUUCCA
rnacentral:lncRNA from 1 species